rnacentral:lncRNA from 1 species
CCAUCUCCAAGAGAUCAUUUCCCUCACUAUAUUGAUCGUAAGCCCAUAACGGGAAGUAAAGUUGGCUCGACUGCUCUGCGACUGUACUAAAAUUCUUCCUUCUACUUGCCAUUUCCAUCAACAACAUUCCAAAAUUAUAGACAUCAGCUUUGUAUGAGACCCCUCCAAUAUUUUUGUAGAACAACUUUGGAGCAAUAUAUCCAAUUGUCCCUCUUGCUGCCGUCAAAGUAACAAUGCUAUUGUCUAUGGGAUAUAAUUUUGCAAGCCCAAAAUCGGAGAUCUUCGGGUUAAAGUUCUCGUCAAGAAGAAUGUAGGCUUGAUAUCAAAAUGUAGAAUUUGCAUGUCACAACCUUGAUGUAGAUAUUUGAUCCCUCGAGCAACUCCAAAAGCAAUCUUAUACAUCUUCUUGCAACUUAAAGGGAUACUUCCUUCUGUGGAAUAAAUGUAUUUAUCAAGAGAGCUAUUAGGCAUGAAAUCGUACACUAGAGCGCGCUUUGAUCCUUCAACCCAAUAACCAACAGGUUGCACCAUAUUAACAUGGUGAAUUCUUCCAAUAGUAGCUACCUCACUAGUGAAGUACUGCCCAUUGUUUUUAGGCUUGCCCAAAAGUUUAAUUGCCUCAAAAUGACCAUUGCGUAACUUUCCUUUAAAUGCAGUACCAUAACCGCCCUGGCCCAGCUUGUCCUUGAAUUGAUUAGUCAUUCUCUUAAUGUCCGAGUAAGAGUACCUUAUUGGCAUGAAGUUGUUUUCGGUUUGCAGAAAAUCUUCGAUGAUGCUAAACCCUGACAAAUGUCUUCUUCGCCAUCUAUAGAUUAGAAAUGCAAUCAGAAAUGGAACCCCUAAAAGUAGUCUUCCUACUAAAUAUAAACCUGCACAAGAGAAUUAUCAUCCGAGUCCAGAUAAAGGAAAUUGAAAGAGAGAACAAUUACAAGCUUACCGAGGCAAAUGAGUAUCGCCCAUCCAGGUCCUGCAACAAAUAUGGCAACAGUAUGAAUUGUCAAAAGCUUGAGCAUAAGUUAUAAAAGAGUCUCAAAUGAAUAAAAUCAAGGACUUGUAUUGAAUUUUUUAUGUAUAUUUCAUAUAUAAAACAGUUACAAGAUCAAACAUAUAUAGAAGAAGAAACAGGAAAGAAAAUGGAGGACAAAAGGUAGAGGACAAUGGCAGCUAAGCAAGCAUAAUGAUGACCUCCACUCUCUCUAACUUAAGCCACUAACUAGCUUUACAAUGAUGAGGGAAUAUUAUCACUUAACUAUGCCUAAAGUAAACAUUAAAUAAGAGAUGCACCAUGUCUAAAACAAACAGCUAACACUAGCACUAAGACUAGCCGAAAGCUGCCGAAAGUUGAGUUGUUCUCCAUCAAAACUAGACAAAAGCUUGCAUUAUUUUUCCAACACUCCCCCUCAAGCUGGAUCUAGGGGAUCCUUUGAGCCAAGCUUGGACAGAAUGCACAGAAACGGAACUGUAGGAAGAGAUUUGGUAAAAAUGUCAGCCAAUUAAUCAUGACUGCGAGUAUAGUAGGUGGUUAUGAUUUUGGAUUGAAACUGUGCUCGAACAUAAUGACAAUCCACUUCAAUAUGCUUCGUUCUCUCGUGGAAGACUGGAUUGGAAGCAAUAUGCAUGGCAGCUUGAUUGUCACAGAACAUAGACAUAGGUUCAUUGCUGGGAAAGCCUAGAUCCAACAGAAGGUUUUCCAGCCAAAUAAGUUCACAUGCAGUGGAGGCCAUAGCUUGCUACUCGGCCUCUGCACUAGAUCGAGCUACGACAAUUUGCUUCUUGCUGCGCCAUGUUACCAAAUUGCCACCUACAAAGGUGCAAAAACCUGUUGUUGACUUGCGAUCAAGAAAAUUCCCAGCCCAAUCAGCAUCUGUAUAUCCCAUGAUGGCAGUGCUAUCAUUUUUUGUCAUAAGGAGUCCUCGACCAAUACCCUUUUAGAUAACGAAGAAUUCUCUUCACAAUUUGCAUAUGAGCUAAUGUAGGAGCAUGCAUAAAUUGACUCACAAUACUCACGGCAUAAGAGAUAUCAGGACAUGUGAUUGUGAGAUAAAUAAGCUUUCCUACAAAUCUUUGAUACUUAGUAAUAUCAGAGAGAGCUUCACUGUGAGUACUAAGUUGUAGCUUGCUAUCCAAAGAAGUACGUGCAGGUUUACUAUUUAUUAAGCCAGAGUCCUUCAAAAUAUCAAGAAUGUAUUUCCUUUGAUUGAAAAAGAGGCCUUCCUGUGAAUUUGCAAGCUUAAUACCUAGGAAAUAUUUGAGACGUCCCAAAUCUUUGAUUGCAAAUUUGUUUUGAAGAGCAAGCUUGAGAGAGUGAAUUUCUUCAGUAUUGUCACCAAUCACUAUAAUAUCAUCAACGUAGAUUAAAACGAUUACUUUUCCAACUAAGCCAUCACGAACAAAUAGUGAGGAAUCAACACUACUUCUUUGAAAGCCAAACUCUUCAAGAAUGGAGCUCAGUUUUGCAUACCAUGCACGUGGAGACUAUUUCAAUCCAUAAAUGGAUUUGUGCAGUUUACAAACCAUGUCAGGGUCAUCUGAUUGAGGAUGUCCGGGUAGUAGUUUCAUGUACACUUCCUCCUCUAAUUCCCCAUGCAAAAAAACAUUCUUCACAUCCAUUUGAUAAAGAGGCCAAGACUUAUUUACGGCAACUGAUAAUAGAACCCUUACAGUGUUCAUUUUGGCUACGGGAGCAAAUGUUUCCUUGUAAUCCAAGCCAUAAGUCUGAGUAAAUCCACGAGCCACCAAACGAGCUUUGUGCAUUUCAAUCGUCCCAUCUGAGUUGAACUUAGUCUUGUACACCCAACGGCUACCAACUGAUUUCUUCCCUUCGGGAAGUUUAACUACACUCCAGGUUCAGUUGUCAUGAAGAGUUUGGAGUUCAUCCCUCAUAGCUUUUUGCCAAAUUUCAAGUUCAUUUGCUUCUUGAAAUGUUUGUGGUUCAUGAGUAUUGUCCAAGGUACUAAGAAAAGAAGUAUGAGAGGGGGAAAACUGCUUAUAGGAAACAAAGUUUGUAAGAGGAUACCUAGAAGUGUAGGUGACAUAAUCAUGUAGUUGAAGUGGAGGCUGUCGAACCCUAGAAGGGUUUCGACGAAUUGGAACUUGAGGUUCAAUAUCUGUGGUUUGAGAUGAAUGUAGCUCAUGCAAUAGAGUUGGUGGGUUACGUGAAAUGAGACUUUCUUGAUAGAGAGGAACACUAGGUAAUGGAAACAUGUCACUAAAAAACUCCCCCUAAUCUGCAUCACUUAGUUUCUUGGAGAAGUAGGGCAUGUUUUCAUCAAAUCUCACAUCCCUUGAAACCAUUAUUUUCUUUGUGAUUGGAUUGUAACACUUGUAGCCCUUUUGGGUAGAUGAGUAACAAAAAAAAACACAUUUGAUUGCUCGAGGAUCCAGUUUAUCAUGGUGGAGAGAUUGGUUGUGAAAAAAGCAAGUGGACCCAAAAACUCUCAAGUGUGAGAGAUCAUUCUGUCUGUCCUUCAACACUUCAUAUGGAGACUUGAAACUGAGUACUUUACUAGGCAACCUAUUGAUUAGGUAGGCAACUAUAAGUACUCCUUGUGACCAAAAUUUCUUUGGCACAUUCAUAUGAAACAUGAUUGAUCUUGUCUUCUCAAGAAGGUCUCUUCUCUUUCUUUCAGCAAUCCCAUUUUGUUGGGGUGUGCCAACAUAUGUUGUUUGGUGCAGUAUGCCAUGAAUACUAAGAUAUUGAGACAUGUUAUGGGACAUGUAUUCAGUGUCAUUGUCGGAUCUUAAUAUAUGAAUUUUUUAUGCAAAUUGAGUACCAACUAGUUUGUGAAAAUCUUGAAAAACAUUUGAAAGUUCACUCUUAAAUUUCAAAAGAUACAACCAAGUCAUCCUUGUAAAAUCAUCAACAAAGGUUACAAAGUAUUUAUAUCCAUCAAAGGACUCUAGUAUUGGACCCCAAAUGUCUGAAUGAAUGAUUUUGAAAGGAUGGCUAGCUCUAGAAGUGGAAGAAUCAAAAGGCAACCUAGAAAACUUAGACAAGUGACAAACAUCACACUUUAACUUGUCCUUACAUAUUUUUGGAAACAAAAAAGACAUUACUUUAUCAGAAGGAUGUGCCAAACGUUGAUGCCAAAGUUGUUGGUCUUGAAAAACACUUGAACUGACUUGAAAAAACUUGGGAUUCUUAGUGUCUUUUGCCAAGUAGUAAGGCCCAUUCAACAAGAAACCUUCACCAAUCGUUCUCUUGGUGAUGAUAUUCUGAAAAAUGACAUUGUGAAGGGAGAAAAUGACUAGACAGUUUAGAGAAUUGGUGAUAGCUCCUACUAAUAGAAGUUGAAAAGGAAAAGAAGGUAUGUAAAGGGCUGCUGACUUUAUGUGUUUUGACAAUAAGUUGAUUUUUCCUUUUCCUACAAUUGUGGCACCCUUCCUAUUAGCUACUAACACUUGAGAAAAAUUUGUCAUUUUUGUAAAAUCAUGUAAGUUAUUAAUUUUAUUUGUCAUGUGAUCCGUGGCUCCUGAGUCAAUGAUCCAAUAAUCAUGUCCAUUACUAGCAUUUAGGGCAGUAGAGAAGGCACAGAAAAUACUUGGGAUAUCUUUCUGUGAAACAUGGUCAUGUUUAGCCAGAAAACCAGCAAAUUUUCCAAGUAAAGCUGUGUGAUCCUUCUCUUCAGCUACGAGAGCUUCAUCUCUAUUGUUAAGCACUGUUUGUUGUGGAGAUAUGCUGCAAAAUCAUUGAUUAAUGCAGCAGGAUUAGUAGUGAAAUUCACCAUUCCUUCUGUCGACAAGGUAGCUGCAUGGUUGGCCUUGUAGCUAUUGAUGUUCAGAUAUUUUUGUGUACCCUUUAUCUUUGGACCUUUUGUCUCCUUCAAGAACUUAGGUUUCAAUUCCGGAUGAAGAAUCCAACAUCUGUCUUUUAUAUGGCCAAGAGAAUCACAGUAGUUGCGCUUUAAAUCUGGUCUUUUUCCCUUGUAAACUUUGCCUUUAGGACGUUUGUUGCUAAAGACAUAAGCCCUAGUCUCAGAAACGUUGUCUUUAGUCUCUUGAUUCAUGACUUUCCUCCUUUCUUCUUCCCUUUGGAUUAUGGCACACACACCAGUGAAGGAAGGGAGUUCAGCAUUCAUUAAGAUGUGACUUCUGAGGUCUUCAAACUCUGGACCUAAGCUUGCCAAGAGUUGAAAAAUCUUGUCUUCUUCUGCUCUCUUGAUUAACACAGUGGCAUCAGUGGUAUGAGGACAAUAAACAUCGAGCUCAUUCCACAUGUUUGUAAGACUACCAAGGUGUUGAACAAAUGCUUUGCUUCCUUGUUAUAGACUUGCCAGAUUCUUCUUAAGCUAGAAGACACGGGCAUCAUUAUUUUGAUUUCCAUACAUCUCUUUUACUUGUUUCCAAAGAUGCAUGGGUGACUCGAAAUAACUGAAAAUUUCAGCAAUCCUUCGCUCCAUUGAAUUGAGCAACCAAGACAUGACCAACUGAUAUAUGCACAGCCACGACUCGUAUGUAGAAGAAGUGACUACUGGAGCUUCAAUAACACCAUUUACAUAGCCAAGCUUUGAUCUUCCUCCAAGUGCAAGAGAUACUGCACGACUCCAGGGAAGGUAGUUGAAUUCAUUCAACAAAACAGAACUGAGACGUUGAUUAGGAUUGACCUCAACGUCAGAAAAUGCUGGAGCAUCCAUCGAGCUUUUAGUUUCAGAGAGUUCUUCAGCCAUCUUGGCUUAGAGCAAAAGAAACUUAGCGGAAACGAUUACUAAAGUCAGGAAUUUAGAGUUCCUGCUCUGAUACCAUAUUGAAUUUUUGAUGUAUAUUUCAUAUAUAAAACAAUUACAAGAUCAAACAUAUAUAGAAGAAGAAACGGGAAAGAAAAUAGAGGACAAAAGGUAGAGGACAAUGGCAGCUAAGCAAGCAUAAUGAUGACCUCCACUCUCUCUAACUUAAGCCACUAACUAGCUUUACAAUGAUGAGGGAAUAUUAUCACUUAACUAUGCCUAAAGUAAACAUUAAAUAAGAGAUGCACCAUGACUAAAACAAACAGCUAACACUAGCACUAAGACUAGUCGAAAGUUGCCGAAAGCUGAGCUGUUAUCCAUCAAAACUAGACAAAAGCUUGCAUUAUUCUUCCAACAACUUGAGAUAUUAUAUGCAAGAAAUACAAGUUCUUAUUGAAGGAUAUCCCCGGAAACCAUAGAGGAUUAUCUGCAAGAAAUGUAAAAUCCAAAGUUUGAGAUGUGCAAGCCCAAAUAAAUGAUGGUAAAAACGAGCAAAAAACAAAGAAAAACUGAGUUUAAUGGGACUGCUCUAGCGAAAGACUUGUAGCUUAGUUGGUUAAGAACAUUCAUCAUUUCGCUAGAGAUAGCGAGUAUGAUUUUUUCCUCUCCCAAAUAUUAUUUGUGUAAAAGAAUAGAAAAUUGUGACUGUUCCUUGGAUUGACAAUUGUCGUUUAAACAAAAAGAAGAAAAGAAACAAGAAAUGAAAAAACUUUUGGAGAGAACGUUCUUACUAACGUAUAAUCUUCCAUGAGCAAGAAACCUAUUACUAAUGUAUAAUCUUCCACGAGCAAAGAAACCUACAGAGAUGAAAUCAUGAAAAAAAAAAGGCUUUUUAUAUUAGGAAAACUAAUGAAAAUGGCUUGAAAACUUUGAGUUUUAAUGAUAAGGACAAAAUAAAGGGUAAAGUGAAUAGUAUCAGGUUUGACUUUUUAGUGUAAAAAUGUGGUUUUUCGUUAAAGUGAACAGUACUGCGAACUUUUCGUUAAAACUCCCUUUUAUAUUAGCACCUCACAAAAUAUUGAAUGCACCCCACAUAAAAAAUUAAUAUUAAAUGACUUAUUUACCCCACUAUGCAACGAUAAUUUUGACCUUAUUAGAUUUAAAAAAAAAAAUUCUAAAUACACCCCAAAUCACUUUUAGCGUAUUAUUUAUCUUCUCAACUAUCAAAACCCAGCUUCACAUGAGGUAAGACUUCAUAUUUUUCAUUGUUGUAGUGAUUUUGAUGACAUCGAUAAUUAUUUAAUCUUGCGUUUGCUGCGUUAUUUAAACUUCUAUAUUCAUAUUCAUCUUUUAGGGAUCACAAUGAGAGUUUACAUGAAAUCUCCUUACCUUGUCCGUCCAAGAAAUUUUUUCUCCAAUUUCUCAAUGUUUGGAAGUAAUGGAUACCAAUGUUUUCCAAGUGCCCCACACUGCAGAAAUGAAGUUCGUGAAAGUCAAAAAUUGCAUACCUCAAAGUUAAACCUAACAAUGAAGCCAUCUGUUACCCUACCUAGCAAAUCAUCAUUUUGAAAUCAUUCGGCAAACUAAACGUUCAGAUGAUUUAAAAUCUUUCGGCAAACUAAACGUUCAAAUAGUUAGAUUCAGUCCCUAAAAAUAAAAAAUCAGUGUUAUAAGAUUUGAGAAACGUGGGAUGUAUAUACAAAAUAUAAGGUGUAUAUAGAGAAUGUGGGAUGUGGGGUAUUAUGGAAAAGUAUGUGGGGUGUAUUAAGAUAAUUUUUAAGUGAAAAAGCAAAUGUGGGGUGUAUUAAAGAUGUGGGGUUUAUUCAACAAUUUGUGGGGUGUUAAUAUAAUGAGCCAAAAGAAAACAUUAGUCCACAUUUAAAAUCAAGUUUUGACACAUACUCACCAAGAAAUGGUGUUUGGUGCAUUUUACAUUUUUAUUGUCCAGAUUUUUGUAUGAUAUGUACAGAAAAUCCAAAAGGGUUGUUUAAUUUACACCCGCCACAUUGUUGAAUACACCCUACAUACAAGGGAGGAAGGGAAAGUUUUCAGGUGAAAAAAGGCGAUAUAUGGUCUCAAGCAGUCUCCUCGGGCUUGGUUCGAGAUAUGAAGUUACCUCACAUUUACUUUUUCAACUACAACUUAUCUUAGUGCACCUCACGUACUUUCCUAUAAUACCCUCAAACCCCACAUUCUCUACAUACACCUCACACUCCCUACACCCCACAUAUCCACAUCCUAGGUGCAGCCUCAGUGUCCCAUGGAGAAGCAUCGCCUUACGAUCCUAUUUAAGUAUACAAAUAAAUUUGGAAAACUAGACAAAAAUUGGUACCCGUCAACCAGAACCCGCACAGAUUAUCUUCGAAUAACAUGAAUUUAUUACCUCCGAAUAACAAAAACUUGCCGCAAUCGAGUUUGUGAUUUGUAAUACAUUCAUUUUGUGAUCAGGUGUUUUUUUUUAAUGGGUGGUUCUUACUGCCUUAGCAAUGAUAAAGGUAAGCAGGAUUAGUUUUCCAUAACUAGUCAAAGAAGUACUGAACUAAACCAAAUAGGUUCCAUAACCAGUCAAAUUAAAACUAUUUUCUUUGAUAAGGAAAAUCUGCACUCACCAAUAUUUGGUUACAUAUAUAGAAGGCCCUAAUUUGCAUAACGAUGUCGCUGAAAUCACUAAAACAAUAAAAAAUUAUAAGGACUUACUUUAUGUGUCGAUAGGGGUGUAUUUAGAAGUUUCAUUUAAAAUUAAAAAAAAAAAACUUAUGAGCCCUAAAUAGUCAUUGCAUAUUAGAGUACAUAGUUAUUUAAUAAUGAAUCUUAAUAUGGGGUUUCUAGUUGUGUUUGGCUAAAAACUUAAAAAGUGUUUUUGACUCAUAGAAGCACAAUUUGAAGAAACAUUGCUUCUUAAAAAUUGCACUUGGAUUUUAAUUAAAAUUUCAACAUGUUUAUAAUAACAAAAAAAAUUAGCAGAAGUUAUUAUGAAAGAAAUCAAUACCAACGUUAUUUUUAUAUUAAGUCAUGAUCUAUUUGGUAUUGCUUUCUUUCAAAAGCAUUUCUGCUCAACUUGUGCAAAAAAAUGUUUUUCGUUAUAAACAUGUUGAAAAUUUUCUGACCAAUCCAAUUGAUUUUUCGAAGAAGAGGUUAAAGUGCUUUCUGAAGUGCUUUCUGAAGAUGCAUUGAUAUAUGAGCGAAAAGAACUUUAAUUUUUCUUUCAAAGGCAAUUGGAAGCGAUUUUUACCUUUCAAGAGCAAUCCAAAUAUGCCCUUGUCCAAAUAUAAUUAACUAAUUCCUAAAAGGGUUACCUGUUGUUGUGAACUCAGAAGCUAUAACAGAAUAACAUUGGAUUAAAAAAAAUAAUAAAUACAAAAAAAAAGGGAGAUUAAUUUUUGAGACGAACUCCCUUACCGUAAAUCACCUCCCACCGAUAUCGAAAGAAACCUACAGGGACAAAGAAGAAGACAACGUGUUUGGGUUAGAACUUGAACUUUGAGCUCAAAAGGAAGUUAGCCCAAAAGAAGGUCUAGAAGGAAAGAAGCCCGAGGCUCAGUCGAAGCCCAGAAGGCAGGAGAGGCCAUUUUUCCGACUAAGUGCAGAUCACUUAAGUCACUUGCUCACCUACCUAGAGGUCAAGUGGUAUAGACCAUCCAGCUAAUUAGCCCAAAAGUACUUUACAAUGGCAGUACAAGUAAAAAGUUGAUGAGUCACUACCCUUCAGCUGCAUUCGGGCAAGAUUGAUGUUGCAGGCAGCCAAGCCAAAUCGUCUAUAAAAGAGGAAGGAGAAAUCAAAGAUAGGGACACUCAAUCAAACAAACAAAUACACAAACUCUGCUCAAGCUAGAUUUGCAUACGAAGCUGUAGUCAGCACCAAGCCUUCAUCAUUUUCAGGAUCAACCUUCACCAGAAGUCUUUGUAAAAGCUCUGCUACCUUGUCUGAAUCUCGAUGUAGUAUCGAUUCCCUCCUAUAAACUCAUCUCCCAAUCUCCCUUUCUAGCACUCAAACCCUCUAUAAAUCAGAAAGAGAGGAAGUUGCAAGACAAUCAACCUUACCCGACAAGGUGAAACCUUGCCCAACCCUCUUUGUCCUAUCUUUCCAUUCAUAAAACUAGUAAUAUAAUGUAUACUUCCAUCUGUAUCCAAGUUAUUUCUAGCAAGUUUAUGAUUAAAAGACUUCUUGGUUCUUGGAUCUGGCCGGUUUAAUGGUGCCCAAUCAUGCUUGACUAGAUCUAAGUUCUAACCUUUCGGGCAUAUAAGAUUGAUCAACCAAAAGUCCUUGGUCUUAAGGCAUAAAAAAGAACUUUAUGUGGACUUAACCCAUCCACGACAAUCCUUGAUAACAAGAAGUCCGAAGUUACUUGGGGCGCAAGUAAUUACCCUAUUUCUUAGUUUUGCUCCUGUUAUAUUAUGAUGUCAUGGAACGCUUGAGUAUAGAAUUAAUUCUGAUAGGAAGCCUCAAGGCCUAUAUUUAAGGCCCUACAAAGGCACCUAUCUGGGUUCGUUCUGCUUUGCGGGCUCGGGUGAUUAAAGUAUAACAAUUGUAAAACUUCUGCAACAAUAAAACAACUACUAUAUCUUCAAGUACUAGGUUAGUUUUGAUUAUGAGCCUCAAGGCCUACACCUAAGGCCCUACAAAGGCACCUUUCAUAGCUAACUUGGUCUUUCGGGCAUAUACGAUUAAACUAAACAUCUGUUUUACAUCUGUCAUGCUAAAGAUGGCAGUGGCAUGCCUGAAUACCUAAAGUUAAUUUUGAUUGUGAGCCUCAAGGCCUACAUCUAAGGCCCCCACAAAGGUACUUUUCAGGAUUAACUCUGUCCUUCUCUUACAGCCCGCCAAUAAGCAGAAGCCCGACAGACAAUAUCAACCGGCGCCAACCUCUUGGGGAGCUGUGUGCUCGUCGGCCAGGAAACGUCCCCACCAGAAAUUCCUCAAGACGAACAUAGUUUUGGCACGCCCGGUGGGAUUUCUUGAUCAAAUCUUACUUGUCAAAGCAAUAUGUAAAAAACAUCUGAAAAUUUAAAAAGGGCAGCUGUUCCAGAAAAAAUCAUUAAUGAAGACUUGCAAACUACAUUGUUCCAAAUGUUGCAAAGAUUGGAAAACGCCUCUGCAGGCUUCAGAAAGAAAACAGACCUGGUGAUGGGACUAACUAUUCCCAUAUCUUUACCUCUACUUGGGGGAAAAGAUGAUGGGGAAGAAGAAAGGAAAAAGCUUGAGGACAACCAGCCAGAUGAAGAAAUGACCUUGGCAAAUAAUCCACCUAGCCCAUCAAUAUUCUUACAGAAUAAUCAGGGGCAAGUCGAAAUAAUGGUGGACAAGCAUCCAGAUCCAUUUUCAGAGGCCCCAGUCAAUAUGAUUAAUUUAGCAUGGGCCGAGAAGGGGAAAGGAAAGGUUGCAAGGGAGACAGAAGAAGAAAGGCCGGCUGACAAAUCCACAAAAGGGGUGAUCAAAUUGCCCGAACAUCCAAAAGCAGCCAUAAUCAAAGGGAUGGUUCUGUGCAGUAGAUGCCAAUGCGAAUGUGAGCUCGAAAUACCGCCAGCAGGAGUUCUCAUUGAUCAUGAGUUGAUCAGAAGGAAAGAAGAAAAAGAAAGAAAAGAAGCCCGCGAGAAGGCUAGGAGGAUAACAGGAAAAGAUACUUCCCGAAGUGUUUUUCAGCGGUAGGGAGGGGAUUCCCAACCUAGAGCUUUAUCAGAAAUAUUACGAAAUCAUGAAGCUUCUGAGGAAGUGGAAGACAAAGAGGCCAAAGGUUCAAAAGAGAGGGAGAUAAGGCAUCCCCAAUAUAGCCAUACAAAAAGAGAAGUUAAAAUGAAUGAUAGGAUUGUCAAAAAGGAUAAUCCUGCUCGUCUCGAGCGAAAAUGGUACGUGGUCAGAAAGAAUGGGUAACCCGCCAAACAAAUGGGAGCUUCCAUGAUUGGAAGGGUCCAGAGGCAGCACAAAGCCUACAUGAACUCUUUAAAGACUUCUGCGACGUCUGAAGCCUCCAAGAAUCAAAAGUUUGAAAAAACAUCAUCUGAGGGAAGUAGUUAGUUCCACUGGAGGAGUAAAAAAGAGGUGGAGAUGGCUAAUAGCAAAACAGAAGGCGAAGGAAACCAUGUACCACAAAGCCUACACCUUGGGAAGUACAGGAUCUUGAGGACAACUCAAGAAGAUAUGAUAAUGAUGCCAAUUCCUGGAUAGAAGACAGGGCCUAUUUGUUUUGGAACUAUUUCGCCCGAAAUGAGACUCUCUUCUAUAUCAUUGGUGGAUCUUUUCGACGAAGUGCCAAAGCAGAUACUAGAUUCAGGCAUAAAUUAACAGGAAGGGGCACCAUAACCACUACUCCCAGAAGAUGCGAUGGCCUGGUUAAAUGAGUUUAUGGGCCAAAUCGGGAGCAAGAAAUAAGACUUUCCAAAACCUAGCAAUUUUCAUGUCAACCUAACGUAUGUGUUAUCUGCAAUGUUUGGUGCCGGGCCGGAUCAGCCCGCCGCUAUGGAAAGUGACUAUUUGACAACGGAGCCAAUGAUGGCCCAUGUCAGUGUUGAAGUAGCUAGAGAGGGAGAGUUGGGAAAAGUUGAAUCAUCUGAGACAUCCAAGGAUGGUCUAUUAAGGAUCUAUACGGAUAAAAUGGUGUUCAGCCGCCCAAAUAUGUUGCUAGCCAACCAUCUUAAGCCAAUAUAUGUUGCAGCUCAUUUGGAGGGGGUGCCUUUCAAAAAGGUUUUGAUUGAUGGUGGAGCGGUUGUUAAUGUACUACCAACCAAGCAAAUGAAGAAGAUAGGGAGAGGUGUAGAAGAUCUCAUUCCCACGAACUUCACAGUGUUGAGCUUCUCGGGCGUUAUCACCAAAACUCAUGGGAUUUUGCCCUUAGAAGUGGACUUGGGGUCCAAACAAAUCAUGUUGGCAUUAUUUGUGGUGGAUUGCGCUUCAACCUAUGAAGCAUUACUCGGAAGAAACUGGAUCCAUCAAAGUCUCGCCAUACCCUCCACUCUAUAUCAGCAAGUUAUUGUUUACCAUGAGGCAGGGACGGAGGGAACAUGCUUUCGGGAGAUGGUGGAGGCCGAAUCACGACCAUUUUUCCCUACAGCCAAUGUUGCGGAGGCAAGUUUCUACAAUCCCAAUGUAGGAAUUUUGCAAUGUUCAGGAGCAUAUGAGAACGACCGCCCUACCAAGGUACGAGCCAAAAGCUCUUAGAAUAAGGAAUGCUCCUCACUAGAGAAGAAUGGGAUAAACCCUGCAUCGUCCCAACAUCCCAAUACCAUUAAUGAUAGAACAAAAGAGAAAGGAUCAGGUAAUGGCAGUCAGGUCCCUAAUCAAAAGACUGUUGGUGUGGGAGAGGAAAAAAGCAAGAAAUGGAGCUCUUAGAAAAAGAAGAGCAGGAAUGGCAGCUAAGAACUCCGACCAGCCAGGAUAAAAGCAGAUAAGAGCUUUGCGGAGAAAAACUGAAUGCGGCCAUACGAAUGGCCGAUUGCAUAUAUGACUUGGAUGGGCUAGACGACUUGCCCGAAAGCCCGAAGUUAGUCGAAUUUUUUUGUGCGCAGAGCCUGACAAGCCACCACCAGAAGUUCAGGAUCCUUUGGAAGUCAUUGACUUGGGGACAGAAUGAGAUCCAAGACCUAUACAAAUUAGUGGUUUGUUAGACACUAAUGAUCGGGCAAAGAUUGUCUAUCUUUUGCAAGAAUUUAAAGAUUGUUUUGCUUGGCAUUAUACUGAGAUGCCAGGUUUAGAUUCAACCUUGGUGGAACACAAAAUGCCCAUCAAGGAGGGAUAUAAACCUAUUAAGCAAGCGCCACGAAGGAUGUCAAAAGAAAUAGAAGAAAAGGUCAAAGAAUAAAUUGAAAGACUAGUAAAAGCUGGAUUUAUUAGGCCUGCCAAAUAUGUAGAGUGGUUGGCCAACAUUGUACCCGUUUUAAAAGCCAUAACAAAAGCAAUACGAUGUUGCGUUGAUUACAGAAAUAUUAAUGGCGCUAUACCAAAAGAUGAAUAUCCCAUGCCCAUGGCUGAUCUACCUAUAGAUGCAGUGGCAAAACACAAAGUCUUAUCUUUUAUGGAUGGAAAUGUCGGGUAUAAUCAGAUAAAGAUGGCCCAGGAAGAUAUACACAAAACAACUUUUAGGUGUCCCGGGCAUGUGGGGGCAUAUGAAUACCUAGUUAUGCCAUUCGGGCUCAAGAAUGCUGGUGCAACCUAUUAAAGGGCAAUGAAUGCCAUCUUUCAUGAUCUGAUUGGCCAUAACAUGGAGGUGUAUAUUGAUGACAUCAUGGUGAAAUCCAAAACAGAAAAGCAGCAUCUGACAGACCUCAGACAAGCUUUGACAAGGAUGAGGAUCCAUAAGCUAAAGAUGAAUCCAAAGAAGUGCGCGUUUGGAGUGAGAGCGGGCAACUUCUUGGGAUUCCUGGUUCAUCAAAGAGGUGUAGAAGUGGACAAGAGCAAGUUUCGGGCAAUAAUGGAGUCGCCUUUGCCCAACAACAAGGUGCAACUUCAGAGACUGCUAGGCAAAAUUAAUUUCGUAAGGAAAUUCAUUGCCAAUUUAGCGGGCAAGAUCCAGCCGCUGACUCCUCUGCUGAGACUGAAGGAUAAAGAAAAUUUUGAGUGGGGACCACCACACCAAAAGGCUUUCGACAGCAUCAAAGCCUAUUUGACUUCUCCACCAGUGUUAGUACCACCUCAAAGGGGAAAACCCUUAAAGCUAAAUAUUUCUACUUCAGAGAAAUCAAUUGGGAGUUUACUAGCCCAAAACAAUGAAGGCGGGAAGGAGCAGGCGGUGUACUACCACAGUAGAAUUCUGACUGUGUAUAAACAAUAUACUCCCCAAUAGAAAGAUUGUGCCUAGCUAUGUAUUUCACUGCUAGUAAGUUGAGGCAUUACAUGUUACCUUGUCACAUGCACAUCAUCGCCAAAAUAGAUGUGAUAAAGUAUAUGUUGUCAAAACUAAUGCUAACAGGAAGGAUUGGGAAGUGGAUUCUUGCAUUAUCAGAGUUUAGCUUGCAAUAUGAACCCCAAAGGGCGGUCAAGGGCCAAUCAAUUACCGACUUCUUGACAGAGCAUCAAGAGUCUCAAGAUGAGAUUGUCAAUAUACCGGGGACCCUGGAAGUGACUAGCAUUUGGAUCACACCAGGCAAGAACAUCUCGGGCAAAAAAGAGUGGGUACAACAAGAAAUAAAAAGAGUAAAUGGCCUAUGGAUUACUCAUUGGAAGCUGUAUUUUGAUGGUUCUUGCACUCAGAAGGCUUCUGGAGCUGGGAUUGUCAUCAUAAAUCCCCAAGGCGUUCACCAUUAUUACUCGUUCCUCCUAAAUUACCAAGGGAACACCAACAAUCAAGUAGAGUAUGAAGCCUUGAUAAUUGGUUUGGAAAUCUUGAUAGAGCUGGGGGCAAUGGAGGUAGAUGUGUUUAGUGAUUCAAAGUUAGUAAUAAAUCAGCUAAAUGGAGAAUACAAGUGCAAACAUAUCACCAUGGCUGGGUAUUACUUGGCGGCCACGCAAUUAUUGAGCUAUUGGGAUUCUGAGAUAUCAGUUAAUUAUGUCCCCAGGGGAUUAAAUCUGGCGGCCAACGAGAUGGCAUAAGUAGCCUCAGGAGUACCAAUCCAGGAAAGGAAAUAUGGAGUAGAUGUUGAGAUUAAAAGAAGAAAUCUUCCUUCUAUCCUAGAAAGGGGAUUCAGUUUAGAUAUAAUGGUUCCAGAAAGAGAAAUGGAAGACUGAAGAUCGCCUAUCAUUCAUUAUUUGAAAGAUCCUUCUUCACCCACAAGCAAGAAUAAUAGACAGCAAGCAACCAAGUAUGUCUUAUGGGUGGGGAGCCUACUAAGGAAAACUCCAGAUGGACUACUGUUGAAAUUCCUAGGCCAAGAGGAAUCUAUGAGAGUAAUGGCCGAAGUACAUGAAGGAAUAUGCGGGGCACAUCAAGCUAGAACGAAGAUGAGAUGGUUGCUUAGGAGGUAUGGGUAUUUCUGGCCCGACGUAGAAAAAGAUUGCAAGUCUUAUCCCCGAGGCUGUGAAGAAUGUCAAAGGCAUGGACCCCUUCAACAUGUGCCUUCAGUACCUUUAAAUCCAAUGGUCAAGCCUUGGCCCUUCAGAGGAUGGGCAAUGGACUUCAUCGGGCAGAUUUAUCCAGCUUCUAGCAAAGGGCAUACUUUCAUAAUUGUGGCAACGGAUUACUUCACCAAAUAGGUAGAAGCUUCGGCCGUAAAGACCAUAACCUCACCUGCAGUCAAGAAAUUUAUUGAGACCAAGAUUCUGCACAGGUUUGGGGUGCCCGAAACCAUAGUCACGAAUCGCGGGUCAUCUUUUAUAUCAAAAGAAGUUGAAGAGUUUGCAAACAAAUACAAGGAAGGUAAAGCUGAAGUCUUUCAAGGAAGGAGAUUUAGUAUGGAAAACAGUCAUCCCUUUAAGAGCUCAGCUGAGGGGCUUUGGGAAAUGGAGCCCAACAUGGGAAGGUCCUUUCAUUGUUAGUCAAGUAUCAGACAAAGAAGGAUACUACUUGGCGGAUAUCGAAGGAAAUUGGCAGAAACAUCCCAUCAAUGUCAAAUUCUUAAAAAAGUAUUGUCCUACAUUAUGGGAUGUUAGGGAUUGUUAUAUUGAAGAAGAUGUAAGAUAAAGUAGGCUUCGGGGUGCCAGAGUGCAGUGUUCGUUCAUCGACCAUUCAAGAAAACAGAAAGAUAAAAGUUGUUAAAAUGAUGUUUUAUUCAUUUCGAAAAAUUCGUGAAAUUUACAUCAGAUUCAGCUCCAAUGUGAUAUGCUCAGUUCCUUCUAGUUGCAGUGAUGUCUCGACCAGUUUUUUGAUGUCUUCAUGGACAAAACCCGAUUAGGUGAUCGGGUUGUGAGGCCAAGAUGAGCUUGGUAAAUGACCCUCAAUGCGAACCUUCACCGGGUAUGAUGGUAAAGUCUGACUUAUCGGGGCAACUACCAGAAUGGUGAUCCUUCGACCAAACUUGUAAAAGUUCAAAGCUCAGAACGAGGAAACCGCCUCACUAAAGGUGUUGGGGAUAGCGGGGUGUUUGACCAAAGGUGUUGGAGAUGGUAGUUACUUGAUGAAAAUCUUUUUUCUCUCGAAAAGGGAGUUUUAGGAAACUCCACGUGAAUUAUGAGGAACCCAUUUCCCUAGUUUUAGAAGAAAACUUAGAAGGUAGAAACGCCCGAGGGUGAUAAAGUGGAAGGUUGAAGAUGAUCUGUUGGCUGGGCAUAAGAAGCUUUUGGCUUAAGUUAUUUGUUCAAAAAUGAAGAUUUGAGCCGGAAUUUAUAAGAACAUCAGAGGAUAGCUCAAAGGUCAUAUGAAGAGCAAGAGACGCGUGAUCGCAAUAAACCCGUCUAGAAGACACAAGUUCCUCAAACAGGCGUCACAUGCGCAGGCGACUAUUCAGUCAAUAUUGGCGCCUGGAAUUCCAGCCUAAAUAUUAAUUGAAGGGGGCACUAUUUGGGUUAAAACUUUAACUUUGGGAUCAAAAGGAAGUUAGCCCAAAAAAAGGUCUAGAAGGAAAGAAGCCCGAGGCUCAGUCGAAGCCCAGAAGGCAGAAGAGGCCCUUUUUCCGACUAAGUGCAAAUCACUUAAGCCACUUGCUCACCUACCUAGAGGUCAAGUGCUAUAGACCAGCCAGCUAAUCAGCCCAAAAGUACUUCAUAAUUGCAGUACAAGUAAAAAGCUGAUGAGUUACUACCCUUCAGCUGCAUUCGGGCAAGAUUGAUGUUGCAAGCAGCCAAGCCAAAUCGUCUAUAAAAGAGGAAGGAGAAAUCAGAGAUAGGGACACUCAAUCAAACAAACAAAUACACAAACUCUGCUCAAGCUAGAUUUGCAUACGAAGCUGUAGUCAGCACCAAGUCUUCAUCAUUUUCAGGAUCAACCUUCAACAGAAGUCAUUGUAAAAGCUCUGCUACCUUGUCUGAAUCUCGCUGUAGUAUCGAUUCCCUCCUAUAAACUCAUCUCCCAAUCUCCCUUUCUAGCACUCAAACCCUAUGUAAAUCAGAAAGAGAGGAAGUUGCAAGACAAUCAGCCUUACCCGACAAGGUGAAACCUUGCCAACCCUCUUUGUCCUGUCUUUCCAUUCAUAAAACUCAUAAUAUAAUGUAUACUUCCAUCUGUAUCCAAGUUAUUUCUAGCAAGUUUAUGAUUAAAAGACUUCUUGGUUCUUGGAUCUGGCCGGUUUAAUGGUGCCCAAUCAUGCUUGACUAGAUAUAAGUUCUAACCUUUCAGGCAUAUAAGAUUGAUCAACCAAAAGUCCUUGGUCUUAAGGCAUAAAAAAAAAAGAACUUUAUGUGGUUAACCCAUCCAUGACAAUCCUUGAUAACAAGAAGUCCGAAGUUACUUGGGGCGCAAGUAAUCAGCCGAUUUCUUAGUUUUACUCUUGUUAUAUUAUGAUGCCAUAGAACGCUUGAGUAUAGAAUUAAUUCUGAUAGGAAGCCUCAAGGCUUAUAUUUAAGGCCCUACCAAGGCACCUAUCUGGGUUUGUUCUGCUCUGCAGGCUCGGGUGAUUAAAGUAUAACAGUUGUAAAACUUCUGCAACAAUGAAACAACCACUAUAUGUUCAAGUACUAGGUUAGUUUUGAUUGUGAGCCUCAAGACCUACACCUAAGGCCCUACAAAGGCACCUUUCAUAGCUAACUUGGUCUCUCGGGCAUAUACGAUUAAACUAAACAUCUGUUUUACAUCUGUCAUGCUAAAGAUGGCAGUGGCACGCCUGAAUACCUAAAGUUAAUUUUGAUUGUGAGCCUCAAGGCCUACAUCUAAGGCCCCCACAAAGGCACUUUUCAGGAUUUACUCUGUCCUUCUCUUACAGCCCGCCAAUAAGUAGAAGCCCGACAAACAAUAUCAACUUGUGCCAACCUCUCAGGGAGCUGUGUGCUCGUUGACCAGGAAACCUCCCCAUCAGAAAUUCCUCGAGACGAACACAACGUUAGCAAUUCAGCAUACAAAGUUGGAAAAGAUUUUUUUAAAUUGUAAAGGUUGUUUUUAUGUUGUCAUUGUGCACUCCCAAGUCAUGUGUUUGUCUGCAUUUUUAAAUCAAACAUUGCCUUUGUGCCUGUUGAUCGAUAUUUCUACGUAGUUCCAUUUGUGUGUGUGUAUGUGUGUUUAGAGACAAAAAUUUAAAACUAAUGAGUGAAGUCAGAUACCCAAUUUGUUCUCCCUAGAAGUGGGCAAACGGGUAGAGAAACCGCGGCCCUGGAAAGGCCGAUAUCAUUAAUUUGUGGGGCAGGCCAAGUCCAGAUACAUAGAAAAACGGGUACCCAGACUAAUCCGUUUCUAAUUAUAAUGAACGGCUGAGAUUGAAUGAUAACCUAUCAUCCAAUCUCAACCGUUAGUUUCUACCCUCGUUUCUACCCGAGUCCAAGGUCCCAGAAUCACUCUUUCAGCUGCCUCGCUCCGCUCUUUCCCUCUCCUCCAUCUCUCCUUUCUUGCCCUAACUGAUAGGGUUUCCAUGUCCGUAUAGCUCCAACCUCUCAUGCAUCAGUGCCUUCAACCUUUACUGAUCGUUGUUGCAGCCUUAAUCAUUUCUGGGUCUCUCUCUUUCGAGGGUUUUUUGGCAGAAAGCUUUGCACUUUCAGCCUCCCGGAGGUUUUUGAGUUGCACCCAUGUCAAAGCUACUUGGUUUCUCCGGUAAGUCUUGAGAUUUUUCAUGUUUUUUUUGUUGAAUUUAUUGUUUUUGGGCUUAAAUAGUUGUCCGCUUGUUUGGAAUUUGUGAUUUGAAUGAUGUUUAGCUGUUAAAUUUGUACAUCAGAGAUGAAAUAUUUGGAAUUUUGAUGAGCUAGCUUGGUGAUCUGUUGGGUUUUGUUGUUUUAGUGAAUUUUGAUGAUUUUAGUUUCAUUUUUUGAAUAAUAUUUUGGAUUUAGAAUAAUAAUUUAGGGUGCUUAGAUGAAAUAGUUUUGGAUUUGAAACCCUAAGAUCUGAUCAGCCUUUUGGUUCAUGUAUUCAAUUUUGGGGUUAUUGUAUUUGUUUUCAUUUUUGGGUGAAUUAAUUGCUUUCUGAAAUUACAACAACAACAACAACAACAACAAAGCCUUUUCCCACUAAGUGGGGUCGGCUAUAUGAAUCCUAGAACGCCAUUGCGCUCGGUUUUGUGUCAUGUCAUCCGUUAGAUCCAUGUUUGCAUGUUGACAACUCAGAGUUGGGGUUAUUGUAUGCAGAGACAUCCCAACUUUUGUCUGGGUUCAACUUUGUUGAAGGGGAGCAUACUGCUUUUUGAAGGGGUUUGGGUUCUUGGCUUAUGAUUUGGUUUCGUAUUGCUUGAUGAUUGUUUAACGUGCAGAUUUUUUUAGCUUGGAUUCUUUCGUAUGUCUACAUUAUGGAACCAUCCUCACAUUCGGUUUGCUAUUCAUCUGUUAUCCUUCACUGUUUUCAUUGAAAGUUUGUCUUUGGUUUACGCUUCUUUGCUUCAUUGUCUUCUGGCACUGGUUUUACGCAUCUUGGCUUGGUUUAUGUACAAAUACUGCAGCCAGAUGUACGAAUGAUGGGAUUCACUACUAUUUGACAGAUGCUGAAGUUUGUUUGGCGACUUUAAAAUUAAGGAAUUUUCCUUGGAUAAGAUCCGACAUUUUCAUUUCAGAUGCAGUUGUCUUUAAACACAGUUACAAAGGAGGGCACUAUGUGGUUUGAUCUCAAGAGGGAGUAUGAUGCUUCUUUUGUUGUGAUUAGUUUUUUCUUUAAAGCGCUGUUAGAUGUGAUUCUAAAUGUAUGCAGUGAAUGGUGGAUCCUUAUUUCAUUGGAUCCUAGAGGAGUAUGGGUUGCUUCUAAAAUGGAGCCUUAUUUCAUGUAAUGUAUAAUGUUAGCACAAGAAUUGUGCUACAAAGAGGAGGUGGCGGAGAGUUCAUAAAAAGUCUCACUUUUAAGAGAAUGUCUUUAGCAUUUCGCUUGAUUUGAAUGUUUGGUUUAGAUGGAUUGCACAGUUUGACAAUGCAAGUAUUUAAUUUAUUGAAAAACAUAAGUUUGACAACGUAACAUUAUGCGUGGGGAAACGAGUUAAACAUAGUGAUCAGUAGCCAUGGCCUUUAUAUUCUAUGAGAAUUCACGCACCUGGGAUGCUGUGUGGAAAACAUUUAAGAUUACUCCUCCAUUGGCCUGGGCAGAUUGGACCCAGUUCAUCAACACCAUAUACUCGAAGCUCAAAUCCAUACAUGAGCGCCUUGUGUAUGUUUUCAUAAGAGGUGUUGUAGUCUUUGACGUAGCUCGAGAGCGCCCAAGUCAUCCACUCUGCACUGCAACCCUCAUCCAAAUCCCCUACUUCCAUCAAACCGACCUUGACGUAGCUAUACGUUUUUGGUUGGCUCGAAGAAGAAGCACUUGCAUCGAAGCAUGGAGCAGUGUCCACAUACAGAGAAGAAUUCAUUGGAUUCGAACACUUCAUGUAAAAUACAACUGUUGAAAGCGGUGAAUCACUUGGAUAUUUACCAUACAAAUCAUAUGGUAAAUUCAAUGUAUCAGACUCAAGCGGAAAGUUUCUCGACAUGGAGGAGCAAUUGUCGUUCUCACAAGACAGCGUAUACGGAACGUGGCUGCAGUGCUUUGGACUAUCUUGUAGUCGAAAAGGGUAGCUUAUGUUGUGAAUAUUGCCGCAGGAGAAGGUACAGUUUGUACUAUCAUCCUUUGCUCUACAAGUUUCACCGGAUAAGCCAAUGACAAGAAAAGCCAUAAUCAAUAGCCAAGCAGACCAAGUGAAGGACCUGCUUCCCCUUAUUCCCAUGGAGAGAGAGAGAGAGAGAGAGAGAGAGAGAGAGAGAGAGAGAGAGAGAGAGAGAGAGAGAGAGAGAGAGAGAGAGGAUUUGAUAAUCAAACUAGCUUCCCUGAAUUUUCAAAUUUCAUAUUGAAUGACAUAUAAAAAAUAUCCAAAAUAGAAGUCACUAGAAAAUCAACAAAAUCACAUAAUUUCAAAAAAUGAAAAGGAUUAUCCAUCAAACAAGUUCCCUGAAAAUGCAUUGCAAUGGGGUGUUAUGGGUUCUAUGGUGGUGGCGUGGAGAAAAGAAGGGGAAUAAGAACCUCUGUAGCCCAAGUCAGCAUCUUUUUUAAUAGUUUUUAAGUGACUUAGCAAUGAUGUGGCAGACAUACAAGUAGGUAAGUCGACCCCACUAACGUCAUGUCAGAGUACUAACAAAAUUAUUUACAUAAAAGUUGUACCCAGUGCACAAGGCUCAAAUGAAUAUGAAAGUUGAAUUCUAAGGGAUUAGGUGGUGAAAUUUAAGUUUUACAUAGCAAAAGUGAGAUUGAAAUAGAGUUCCAAAAAUACAAUCUGAAAAAAGUUUCCGUCAAUACAGUAAGAACAAAGCGCGCACACGUACAUUUUAAAUCACUUAUUUCCAACAACAACAAAAUAAUAUAAUUCACUUAUUGUAGUCGUCACACUUGCGUACAGUAGAAAGGACUGUUGAGAAACUAUGACUUGUGAAAAACUGCAGAGGUAGCAGGCAGUUGAUAUGUACUCGAAUCUCUCAGCCGGGGUGUGUUUUCAGGUACUUGCAUACGGCAUCACAUGGACAGGGAUCGGAAAAGGCUGCAUACCACGUCUGCAUACCGCUCAAGCCAAGUCCUAGUAGAACGCCAAUGAAACCCAAGAAAGUCCAGGGACUAUUGAAAUGGUCAUGAAAGAAUUGAGCCAUCCAUGUCUUCCACUUGGUUUUGUAGUGAUAUUCUAUCUGUGCUGUAACAUUUCGGUAAAUCGCAUCGUUAGGGACCAAGUCAGUGCUUAUCUCGUUGAAGAGUUCAGCCACCUCCUGAUCACUCCCAAGCAAGUUUUGAACUAUGCCCUUUUUCCUCAAGUGCUUCACAUCGUCUGCAUGAUCAAUGAGCGAAUCGAGGAAGCCUAUGUAAGAGGUGACCACAAAAUCGUUCUGGAAAUCAGGACACAUUUCGUAGGCUAUGAUGUUCAUGAACUUAGGCCCCAUCGAGUCGUCAACUUUUAUUAUGGGAAGAUAAAGGAAUCCACAGCAUAGAAACAGAGGCUUAAAAUAUAUGUCCAUCAAUGAGUUUUUCUCACUAGGCCUAAAAUGGAUACCGGCUGCCUGAAGCUCUUGUACGUUGCGAAAAGAAUGAAGCAAGGCGCUAGGUCGAGGUCCUACCAUUGUCUGAAGAAGGUCAAGAAGACGAUGAGUACAUCCUGGUUUUGUACUCUGGCUAGGUCGAGGUCCUACCAUUGGCCGAAGGUCAAGAAUAUGAUGAGUACAUCCUGGUUCUGUACUCAGGCUAGGUGGACGUCCUACCAUUCUUGUCCGAAGAAGGUCAAGAAGAUGAGUUGGCUUUCUUUCCACGGCAGGGCCUUGAACUACUGGUGCUCCACCAUGCAUCUUGACAAAUUCCUCGAUUGAGGCUUCCAAGUCCACACGUUUGUUGCUUGAGCUGAUCAGCAACUCGAGGAGUUGAUAGGGGAGUUGGUUUUCUAGCAGGAACAUGUCCUGUUCUACAAAUGCCACUUGGUCUCUCUUGAUCUUAAAAGCUUCCAACUCCUUAUAUUUGUACAUGAAUUCCAACGUCGAACACCCAUCAACGAACAGCAUCCACGCGAGGGCCUCAUCAUCGUGGUCCUUUGUUGCUUCGUCAUCAUAGCACUCCCUUAGCUCCUUAAUCUUGUCCUCAACGUUCUUGAGCAACGUUUCAUCGUUAUUAGUCUGCUCACUAUCUUUGAUAAAGUGUUCUGUCAAUUGAAGCUUGACUUUCUCUGCCUGCUUGUACUUUUCUUUACCAUGGUGGCGAGGACCGAGUGCUACCACCCUUGGCUCGUAGUACUUGUCUAAAUUUUUGUGAUCACGGAGCAUGAAGGGAACCCUUUGGAUCUUUGGUUCGGCAUUUUGCUUUUGAGCUGCUUCUGCCAAUGCAUCCCUCAUUUUCUUUAGUUUCUCCCCCCUACUGGUUCUUAUUACCUCCUCAUGGAUUGUAAUCGCCUCCUCUGAAGUUUGCUCCGUGGUGGUGAUUUCUGCAGGUUGGCCUUGGUCUCCUCCGCUUGCUUGUCCACCUCCUCUUUUCGCAACUUUCGUCAUGGACAGCUCCUUCUUCAUGGAAACUACAUUUUCAUCUUUUUGGGACAUUAUUAAAGUGCUUGUCGAAACUAAUUAACAAGGGAAUUCAAUGUGGUUUUAAGUGUUUUGGCCCUAGCGAGCUGUGUCAUGCUAUACAAUAUUUCUAGUUUGCAUGCAUUAUAUAAUACGUAUAAUAUGGCACAGCAGUGCAUCACUUUAGCUCCAAGAAAAUAGAAGCUUGAUGAUGAAGAAGAGAUGUUAAUUUGUUAAAGGACAGUAAUAGAUGCAUGACUUUAUCUGCAUGGAAGCAUGACUUUAUCUGCAUGGAAAGGUUGGUAUAUAUGUGGUACACGAUUUAUGUGGUAGAAGCUGUCGUCUCUAUCAAGGAAAAUUAAAGGUCAUGUUGUUGCCUGUAGCAUACUUUAUUUAUGGGAAAAUGCUACGAGUACAUUUUUUUUUCAGACCAUAUUUUGUAAUUACAUUAUGUGACGGUUAAUGGUUAGAUUUUUCAUUUAAAUUAUUAAAAAAAAAUUCAACCAUAAACCGGCACAUCAUGUGAUGUACAAAAUAUAAUUUAAAUAAAUAGCCUUUCAAGCAUAGUAUAUCACCCUUAUCUAGGAAACUACAUCUUAGCAUUUACAUAUGUUUGGAACACAUUCUAGUUAAAGUAAGAAAGUAGUACUACCGGUCAUGAUUGCCUUACUGACCUAAAAUAUUAUUCCUGACUUGCUUAUAGUUGGGAGUCUCGGACAAGAAUGAAAAGAAUGAUCUAAAGGCCAUUGUCCUACUUACGACAAGAAUAUCAAAUGUGAUACACAUGACAAGUUUAGUUUCAUGAAGAGCUUGUCCAACAUGCUAAUACAUAGAUUUACGAUUUAAUGAUAUUUUCUUGCACUCGUACCAUCGUACGUGAGGAAAGAUUUUUCAAUGUGACCGGUACACAGGAUGGUACACCACGUGUUACCAUAUAAAUGGUGGAAUAUGUGUGUUAACAAAUUAAUAACUUAAAAAAUAAAAUUUCCCACCACUUAACAUAAAAAUACGUGGUGUACCAUUCGUGUUCCUGUUACAAUGAAAAAUUUCAUGUACGUGAGAGGUUUUGAAUGCAUCACCUUGAACUGCAUUGUAUAUUUAACAGGAAGAAACGGAACUUUUGGUUCCCUAAUAUAUAGAAGAAACAGAAGUAACAUAUAGUUCACAGACAUGUUGCCCUUGUAGCCAAGGUGGUAAAAUACAUAUAUUCUAGGUUAGGUACAUGUUUGAGUAGUUGACAAAAAAGAUAAAGACUGUUUUGUUCUCAUUCUAUAGCAUCUAAGUUUCCAAGCACAAACGUGCAAAGCAAAGAACAUGCAGGUGUUGAAGCAAAAAUGUUGAUAGCUGAAAACAUGUAGAACGGCUUGCAGCAGUCGAUUACGGAGAUUGCAUUGCUCACUUUUUUUUAGAGUGGACAUCUUCCGCACUAUAGCAAAAAAUAUAAAUCAUAGUUUAAGAAACGCUACUAUAAUGUUUGUUAUAUAGGUGUGUGCGUGAAAAAUAAAUUGUAAGUUAGCUAUCUUUGGGUUUUUUGCUUUGAGAUUUUGUUCUAAGUGCAGCUAACGGAACUUUGUCAGCUGGUUCAAUUUUGGGGACAACUAGAUUGUGGAUUUCUCUAGCAAUUCUGGCAAAAUUGGUUGUCUCUGUUUGGUCAUCGUGAGGUCUUUUGCUGUGAGUCAAGGUACAAAUUUAACAGGUUAGAGAUGAAUGUGAGAGUGACAAAAGAGUGUGAAAGAGUGGUGUGAAGCUUUUUCAUGUGUAGGAAAACAUAUUCAUAUACCUAAGAGAAGCAUGGUUUGCAAGAUUUACACAUGAGAUGAUUAAGCAAGAAGUCUACUUUACCUGUCAGAUUUCUCUGUUUGAUCAGGAAACAACUCUCUCUUUGAAGUCUUUGUGGGUGUAGUUGGUUGGGGUUGUUGAUGCAAGGAGGGCGUAAAUGGGCUUUGGGACGCUUCAAUUAAAAUUUGUUUUCCUGCAGUGGUAACAGAUGUUUGCGGUGUGACUAAGGCAAUUGUUGGGUUCGAAUGCAGUUGAUCUUGUAGUAGUCCAUGAAGAUGAAGUCUGUUUUCCCAAAGUCAGUAUUUUGGUUUCCAAAAGAGAGCUGAAAUUGUUUUGUCUCGUUGACCAAAUUUUUUCGAGUUGGCAGAACUAUGAAAGGAUCCUUAUAUCCAUCCUCUAUCACCAAAGUGUGGCAAGAAACACGAAGUAUUUUUUCAGCAUGUUUUCCUAUUAUUGUAAACUAAAAUAGAAAGGAACGAAGUUACCCGAAAAAUGUAGAAGCUUUAAGUGGUGAAUGAUUCUUGGGAUGAGUCACGGACUAAGUCACUCUCUUUAAAACGUUUCGCGGCUCUGCCCAAAGUGUGCAAGCAGUUCACAAACACCACGUCGUCCCCAGGAUAAAACAGCCCAGAACCUUCUUCUAAUAAAAUUCUUCCUUGCACACCGGAAGAACCUUCGAACUAAACCUUUUUGAUAUGUUGCUUUUUAAAUUAAUAUAUUUAAAACUUUUUUUUUCUUCUACUAUUUCUACUCUACGCCUAACUGACAUAUCUUUUUGUAUCCUUAUCUAUAUAUAUAAAGAAAUAGAUGUUAGGGGGGGGUGUAAAACCGUAAGGAUAUAAAGAGAGUUUAUGGGGUGCAAAACGGUCGGUUGCAAUCAAAAGCAAAGCCGUAGGGAAUCAAAUGCAAAACUAUCUGCAAUCAAAGGAGUUAUUAACAUCACAUUAAUUUACUUCUUAAAUUGCUUUAAGAAAUUUCAGUUAUAGACUUUGAAAUGAAAAAAUACGUGGUGCAAACUUUACCAAUUGAUGCAGAUCAAAUCAAAACGUAAUUCAAAUUCAAACAAGAAACAAAACGGUUUGAUUGCAUAACUCCUUAAGCUAAAAUCAAUUGACUUUCAAUAUUGGUAAUAAAGCAAAACGUUGUGUAUAUAAUAUUGGUAGUAAAACAAAACAUAAAUAUAUUUAAAUAUUUAAAUAAAAACAUAUUUGCUCCAACAAUCCCCCACUUGUUUUUAUUUAAAAAAAUAUAUAUCAAGCAACAUAUCAUAAAGCUAUGCAUAAGUAAAGGUGUUUCUCAACUUGAACGUGUACAUAGUGUUAGUGAUCCAGAUUAUACUAGAGUAACUUAUAGUUUUGAACUCUAUCUCUAACAACACCACACACAUAACUUUAUUAAGGUGAAGUUCAAAAAGCCAGCACAUUACGGCCAUAUGCUUGUAUCCCAGUAUAGUGAACGCUCUAGAAACUUGCCCAAGAUUUCAUAGGAAGCGGCCUCACUUCCACAUUCACAUAGGUAAGACUAUCAAGGAUAUUCCUGUAGCUAAAUAUCCCACUCAACAUAGAGUAUAGACCUUAUUAAGAGAAAAAAUCUCAACCUAAAAACGCUUCAGGAUGUCAUGCUUCUUAGGGAUGGACAUGGAAUAAUAUUCCAAAUUAAAAUUAGCAAGACUUCACUCAUAUCACUUGUGCCUUGUUAUUACCCUUUGAACCUAUUUCUUGGGAUCUCUAGCCUAUAGGUUGGGUUGCUAUCACCAAUGACUCAAUUUUCUACGGCCUUUAGUCCUAUCCCUUUCGAGGUUUUCCAAACCUUUUCUCAUGUUAGUCCUUUCGUCAAAAGAUUUUUCCAAACUUUUUCUCAUGUUAGUCCUUUCGUGAAAGGAUCAACUAAAUUUUCUUCAGAUCGUAUAUGACUGGAAUCAUUUUCUCCCAUAAAGGGGUACGUAUCUAACAGUAGGUUUCUCAACCAUCUUGUUUCUUCUCCCAUAAAGAGGUAUCUGAUAGUAGGCUCAUAAUUUUUCGAAGAAUUAGAACCCCCACUAUUUCGAAGAUUAAAAGAAUCAACCGAUUACAAAAAUCACAAGGCACAUUUUCAUAAUUGAUAUCAAAUUAAAUAUAAAACAUAAAUUGUUAUCAAAUUAAAGAACAUGAAAAAUCAGUGAUUAAAAAUUAAAUAAACUCUCUCUUUAAAAACACUAAGCAAUAAAACUACUGAUUUUUCUCAAAUGAAGGUAGCUCUCUGUGCACUUGGGGAUGCUAACAUACUUUUGAGCUCCAAUGAUAUUUCAUGCAGCGAUAGAAAGUAUAAUACAAAUAUCAAUGCAUAAGGCAGCAAAAACCAAAACCCAAAAGCAUGUUAAUUCGAAUACAUGCAGCAGCAGCCAAAACCAAAGUCUAUUCUAAUGCAUGCAACGCAUCAGAGAAACAUAUGACUUGUAAAAAUAAACCUAACGCAUGCAGCAACACUCUUAAACAAACAAUGAAGAAAAUAUGAUUUUAUUUUCUUCCUAAUGCAUGGCAGAUUGAAUACCGUCUUAAAAUUGUUGUAAACUGAAAUAGAAAGGAACGAAGUUACCCGAAAAAUGUAGAAGCCUUAAGUCGUGAAUGAUUCUUGGGAUGAGUUGCGGACUAAGUCGCUCUCUUUAAGACGUUUCGCGGCUCUACCCAAAGUGUGCAAGCAGUUCACAAGCACCAAGUCGUCCUCAGGAUAAACCAACCCAGAACCUUCUUCUGAUAAGAUUCUUCCUUGCACACCGGAAGAACCUUCGAACUAAACCUUUUCGAUAUGUUGCUUUUUAAAUUAAUAUAUUUAAAACUUUUUUUUCUUCUACUAUUUCUACUCUUUGGAAAAAAAAAACGUAUGAUAAGGUCCCAAGAGACAUUCUCUGUAGGAUUUUGGAGAAGAAAUAAGUACGAGUAGCAUAUAUCCAAGCUAUAAAGGAUAUGUAUGAAUGAGCAAAGACUACCGUAAGAACUCAUGAAGGACAAACCGAAAGCUUCCCCAUAACUGUAGGAUUACGUCAAGGCUCAUCCUUAAGUCCUUACUUUUUUACGUUGGUAAUGGAUGAGUUAACAUGACAUAUUCAAGAUGAUAUUCCUUGGUGUAUGCUUUUCGCAGACGAUAUAGUGUUGAUAGAUGAAACUUAGGAAUGGGUAAAUGUGAAGCUUAACCUUUGAAGAUAAGUGUUGGAAUCUAAAGGUCUUCGCCUAAGCCGAUCAAAGACAGAAUAUAUGGAGUGCAAGUUCACUGCAAAUGGAGGCCAAAAUGAGUUAAGGGUGAGGAUCGGAGAUCAGGAAACACCAAAGAGCGACUGCUUUCGCUACCUAGGAUCUAUCUUGUAAAAGAAUGGAGAAUUAGAUGGAGAUCUCAACCAUAGAAUACAAGCUGGAUGGAUGAAGUGGAAGAGUGCAUCCGGCGUGUUGUGUGACCGCCGUAUGCCACUGAAGCUCAAUGGAAAAUUUUAUAGGAUGGCAAUAAGGCCGGCAAUGCUGUAUGGCUCAGAAUGUUGGGCGGUGAAGCAUCAACACGUACACAAAAUGGGUGUAGCGAAGAUGAGGAUGCUUCGUUGGAUGUGUGGGCACACGAGAAAUGAUAAGAUUAGGAAUGAGGAUAUCCGAGGUAAAGUAGGAGUAGCCGAAAUUGUAGAAAAGCUGAGAGAAAAUCGAUUACGGUGGUUUGGACAUGUGCAAAGAAGGCCUACUGACGCUCCGGUUAGAAGAUGCGACUACGGGAUAGAGGUUCAGGGCCGAAGGAGUAAAGGAAGACCUAGGAAAACUUUGGAAUAGACUCUAAGAAAAGACUUAAAGUACUUGGAUCUAACGGAGGACAUGACACAGGACCGAGCACAAUGGCGUUCUAAGAUUCAUAUAGCCGACCCCACUCAGUGACUUGGAUUUUCAAGUCUCCAACCGAGAAGUUUUCCUCACUCGGGAAAUUAAGGGAACACUACCUCAACCUACAUGCUCCACUCACAAAGCUCUCAAGCCAAGCAGAUAUUCAUAUGCAGAUAUUAAGAGGAUUACAAAUCAAUUCAAGUACAAAUUAGGCCAAGGAGCCUACGGAACUAUUUUUAAAGGAAAACUUUCUUCUGAAUGCUUUGUUGCUGUGAAGGUACUUAACAAUUCUAAGCGUGAUGGGGAAGAGUUCAUAAAUGAAGUGGGAGCAAUGGGUCAUAUUCACCACGUCAAUGUGGUUCGCUUGGUUGGUUUUUGUGCAGAUGGAUUUAGACGAGCUCUGGUUUAUGAGUUCUUUUCCAAUGGUUCGCUCCAGGAUUAUAUUUCAUCAGUAGAUAGAAGGAACUCUUUCCUUGGUUGGGACAAGUUGCAAGAUAUUGCUAUCGGCAUAGCCAAAGGAAUAGAAUAUCUUCAUCUGGGAUGCGAACUACGAAUCCUCCAUUUCGAUAUCAAACCCCACAAUAUUUUGCUAAACCAAAACUUCACACCAAAAAUCUCUGAUUUUGGUCUGGCCAAAUUAUGUUCCAAGGAUCAAAGCAUAGUGUCAAUGACUACAGCGAAGGGGAUCAUGGGCUACAUUGCACCAGAAGUAUUUUCCAGGAAUUUUGGAAAUGUGUCUUACAAGGCAAAUGUCUAUAGUUUUGGAAUGCUGCUGCUUGAGAUGAUAGGAGGAAGGAAGAAUGCUGGUUCAACCACAGAGAACACGACCAAUGAAGUUUACUAUCCAUAAUGGAUUUAUAACCUUCUAGAGGAAGGAGAUGACCUACGAAUCCAUAUCGGGGGAGAAGGGGAUGGUAAGAUUCCAAAGCAACUUGCAAUUGUAGGGCUCUGGUGCAUCUAGUGGCACCCAGUGGAUCGUCCUUCCAUGAAAACGGUAGUUCAGAUGCUAGAAGGAGGAGAAAACUUGACAAUGCCUCCUAAUCCUUUUGUUUCUGCAGGUCCUACACAAACAUCACAGGCAUGCAUCCCCAAAAUGCGCCUCCUAGAGUUAGAAGCAAUUGCUAAAUUAGAGUAACAUGUAGAUGUAUACCACCAACUAGUAGUUCAUAGAUGAAUUCAAGCGCAAACAUUUGUUAGUCUAUAAGCCAUGAGCUGAUUACAUUAGUAAUAAUGUCUUGUAUUUACUUGUGUAUUCACUUGAGUUAUAAAUUACCAAGUGUAGGGCUCAUAUUGCAAUUGUCUAGUGUAUUCGUCGACAUGAUUCCCAGUAGCAAAUAAGCAAACCAAAACCAUUUGUCUAGUGCAAGAACGCAUCUACAACUACAAGAAGCAAUUUGGUAGAGAUCUGAUCCUAUUUGCGUUUUUCACAUGUUUACAUAAAAAAGUUUCAUUCAUAAAUAUGGAAAUUAAUCAUCAGUGAAAAAAGGCAGCACAGACACGAUAUGAGCAAAAAAUGACACACAUUCAGACAGACUAAAUGGAAUUCAAAUUUAUCCAUCAGUGUCUAAAAGAGCUUGCCAUGAAGAACACCAAUAAUCUAAGCAAAGCGAUUCACGCAAAAGUUAUGUACAAUAUCAUUAUUCAUGAUUACUAGACAAAGGAAAUGUUUAUCAAUAUCAGUCCUCACUCUGCAAAAGAGAUACGAGACAGUAUAUAGAGUUAAAUGUAACCCGAUUGUGGUUGCUGUUAGGAAUGUCGGUACUACAAGAUAGAGAAUGCACAAGGUAAAGUAGAAAAUGGACGCCAAGAAUUUAUGUGGUUCGGCAAUUUAUGCCUACGUCCACCAAACAAGGAUCAAUCUUCACUAUAUGAAAAAGAUGAAUACAACAAGAGUAGUCUUACCAAGCCAAAGACAAGGCUUGAUGGAUACAAGAAAGUAUAACACACACUUUCUAUCACUCUAAACUUCACUCACACAAUGUGUAGUGGAACACUCUCACUCUCACUCUUGGAGUGGAACUCUAGCUUUGGACUUGAUCCUUUGCUACUCACUCUUCUCUUGAUUUGUUGUUGGUUCACUACAACAUCACACCCAUAUUUAUAGGUGAGGGUUUGGCAUUCUACUAGUUUCUAGUGUAUUCUUCAAACCUCUAGCAUAGAAAGAUCUAGACUAGCCACAAAAGUGUGGCUUCUAGAUCUUUCCAUUUGCAACCAAGGAAGCUAGUACUCUCUAGCUUCUUCCAUCAACUUAAUAACAUGCUAGAAUUGUCUAGCAUGCUCCAGCCAUCUCUCUUGCUUACUAGAAUAAUCUAGAACAUUGAUCAUGGGCUGGACCAUAUACCAACAAUCUCCCCCUCCAGUCCAUGAGGGAGGAAUUCCGAUCAUGACUCCAAGUUACCUGGAGUCCAUCCCAGCAGCCUUAAUGCAGAAUUCCAACUUUGAUUUUGUGACCACCUUUGUCAACAUGUCUGAAGAAUUAUUAUCGGUAUGAAUCUUCUUCAGCUGUAGCAUCUUGUUCUCGAUAACAUCUCUAAUCCAGUGAUAACGAAUAUCAAUGUGCUUGGUGCGUGAAUGGUAUGCAGUGUUCUUGCUCAAAUCCAGAGCACUCUGACUAUCACAAUAAACGCCAUAAUCACUUUGCUUCAAACCCAACUCUUGGAGAAACCGCUUCAGCCACAACAACUCCUUGCAUGCUUCUGUAGCAGCUAUGUAUUCAGCCUCGGUUGUAGACAAAGCAACACACUUUUGCAACUUGGAUUGCCAAGACACGGCUCCCCCUGCAAAAGUAAACAAGUACCCAGACGUAGAUUUUCUACCAUCCAGGUCACCUCCCAUGUCAGCAUCUGUAAAUCCUUCCAAGAUUGGUUUGGAACCGCCAAAGCACAAGCACAUCUUAGAAGUCCCCUUCAAAUAUCUGAGAAUCCACUUAACAGCUUCCCAAUGGUCUUUCCCUGGAUUAGAGAGAAACCUGCUCACCACACCUACUGCAUGAGCAAUAUCUGGCCGUGUGCACACCAUUGCAUACAUGAUACUUCCUACUGCUGAAGAGUAGGGAACAACUGCCAUUUUCUCCUUUUCUUCAUAUGUUUUUGGACACGACUCUUUGCUCAACUUGAUAUGAUUGGCUAAAGGUGAGCUUACCGAUUUGGCUGCUUUCAUGUUGAACCUUUCAAGCACCCGUUCAACAUACUUUUCUUGUGACAGCCACAACUUCUUGGAUUUUCUGUCACGAAUUAUCUCCAUGCCCAAAAUCUGCUUGGCUGGCCCUAAGUCCUUCAUGUCAAAGGACUUAGAUAACUCUUCUUUGAGCUUUUUAAUCAUAAAAGCAUCUUGACCGACAAUCAACAUGUCAUCAACAUAAAGCAACAAAAUGAUGAAUUUACCUCCAGAAAAUUGUUUGAUAUAGACACAAGAGUCAGCAUGAGUUCUCUUGUACCCAUUACUCACCAUGAAUAAGUUGAACUUCUUAUUCCACUGUCUCGGAGCCUGCUUAAGACCAUAUAAGCUUUUCUUGAGCUUGCACACCACCAAAGUUUCUUUACCCUUGACUUCAAAGCCUUUGGGUUGCUCCAUAUAUAUCUCCUCUUCUAAGUUACCGUGGAGAAAUGCAGUUUUUAACGUCUAACUGCUCGAGCUCAAGAUCCAUGCUUGCUGCCAUACCAAGGAUAACUCGAAUGGAAGUCAUCUUCACCACCGGUGAGAAAAUCUCAUCAAAGUCAACUCCUUUCUUUUGACCAAAACCUUUGACAACCAAACGAGCCUUGUACCUUGUCAUGUUGUCGUCAUUUUUUCAAUUUGAACACCCACUUGUUUUUUCAAUGCUUUUCUGCCCUUUGGAAGCUCCACCAGCUCAUAGGUAUUAUUCUUUAAUAAGGAAUCCAUCUCUGACUCCAUUGCCUUCAUCCAUUUAUCACUGUCGUUAUGAGCUCUGGCCUCCUCAUAAGUUUCGGGCUCUCCAUAAUUAGUCAACAUGAUAUACUCUGAUGAAGAAUACUUGGUAGACGGUCUUCGACUUCUGCUGGAUCUUCUGACCUGAUCUUCAUUCUCUUGCGGGGCUAGAGUCUCCCCCUGAUUGGAUUCUCCUUGAAUCUGCUCUUCUUGACUAGGCUCCCCCUGAUCAGCAAUCUCAUGGUCUGGCACAUCUUGAUCAGGCUCCUCUUGAUCAGCAUUAUCUGAUUCUGCAGGCACUUCAUUGGCAGUUGCUUCAGGGAUGUCAUCGUGACUUUCUUCAUCUGAAGCUAAUGGAUCAACUCCUCUGACUGCGCCAUCUGGUUGUGCCUCUUUAUCCGAAUCCCCAAUUGUUUGAUCUUCAUAAAAGACCACGUCUCUACUUCGGAUAAACUUCUUCUGGUAUGGGUCCCAUAAUCUGUAACCAAAAUCUUCACCGCCAUAACCAAGAAAGAUGCACGGUGUAGCUUUGUAGUCUAACUUCGAUCUCUGCUCUUUGGGCACAUGCACAAAAGCUUUGCAACCAAACACCUUCAGAUGAGAGUAAGACACAUCAUUACCAGUCCAUACUCUCUCUGGAACAUCAAGACCUAAUGGUACUGAUGGAGAUCGGUUAAUCAAAUAGCAGGCUGUCCUUACAGCUUCACCCCAGAACUGCUUAGAUAACUUUGCAGUCCUCAGCAUACACCUGACUUUCUCCAUGAUGGUUCGGUUCAUUCUUUCAGCAACACCAUUAUGUUGUGGAGUUCCAGGAACUGUCUUCUCAUGACGUAUGCCAUGUUUCACACAAUACUCUCUAAACUGGUGAGAUGUGUACUCGCCGCCGUUGUCGCUACGAAGGCACUUAAGAGGUUUCCCAAUUUCCCUCUCCACCAUGGCAUGGAACUCCUGGAAUGUCUGAAACACCUGGUCUUUGGAUUUCAACAAAUACACCCAAACCUUUCGUGAAGCAUCAUCAAUAUAUGUAACAAAAUAUUUAUUUCUUCCGAGUGACUCGACUUCCAUGGGACCACACACAUCUGAAUAAACAAGAUCUAACAAAUUUCCUUUCCUUGUAGAUGGAAUCGAAAAACUAAUUCUUCUUUGUUUUCCUAAUAAACAGUGCUCACAAGAGUUUAACGACGUACCUUUGGCAAAGGGAAUGUGAGACUUCUUUGCCAAAACCUGUAGGCCUUUCUCGCUCAUGUGACCUAGCCUCUUAUGCCACAAGUCUAGAGAUGAGUCCUCCACAGCAUUCAACUCACCUUUCAAAACCUUGGCAUUUGACCGGUACAACGUACAACAAAGUCGUGCUCUUGCUACCACCAUUAAGCCUUUAGUAAGCUUCAAUUUUCCUUCGCCAAUAUGGUGAUAAUAUCCUUGUCGAUCAAGGGUACCGAUGGAUAUCAGAUUGAGACGUAUAUCAGGAAUAUGUCUCACAUCUUUCAACAUCAAUUGGCAGCCGAGAUUAGUUCUUAGACGUAUAUCACCAAUUCUAAGAAUUUUGGAAUAGCUUUCAUUCCCCAUCUUCACUAUGCCAAAGUCACCUUCUUUGUAUGUACUGAAGAACUCCCGUUUAGACGUAGCAUGGAGGAAGCUCCAUUGUCAAAGAUCCAUUCAAUGUCUCUGUCAGAGUUGCCCAUAUGCAGACAUUCACCAACAGACAAUAUUUCUGGUACAUCACCACAUAUGACAGCAGUGGUAUUGCCAGUAUCAUCUUUCUUCUGAUUGUUUCCUUCCCUUUGCUCUCUCUUCCAAACUCGACAAUUUUUCUUCAUAUGGCCUUCUUUGCCACAAUGGUGGCAUGCACCCCUGAACCUUGACUUGGAUCGGCUAGGACUCCUGCCAUGACCUCUAGGUCCUCUACUCUUGCUUCUUCCGCGGUUCUCUGUGACAAAUACUUGGCUGCUAUCUGUGCCAGAAGUCUUUCUCCUUGUUUCUUCAUUGAGCAUGCUAUUUUUAACAUUAUCAAGGGUAAGAACACCAUUAGAAGCAGAGUUACUUAUACUCACCACAAAGGUCUCCCACUCCAACCUCCCAACUGUCUGGCAAGGAUCCAAGUAACAAGAGCGCUUGUAGCUCGUCCUCGAUCGUCAUUUUCAUAGUAGCCAACUGGUUGAUGAUAUUCUGGAAAUUGUUCAAGUGUUCUGCUACACUUAAACCAUCCUUGUACUUCACAUUGAUGAGCUCUUUGAUCAAGAAGGCUUUCUUAGCUGGAGUUUUCUUCUCGAACAAGGACUCAAGCUUUGUCCAAAACUCGCGAGCAUUGGUUUCAUUAGACACAUGGUGAAAAACACUAUCGUCCACCCAUUGUCUAAUUGUGCCAAUAGCCUUGCGAUUCAUCUUCUUCCACUCGGCAUCGGACAUGCUCUCUGGCUUAGCGGCAUCUCCUUCAAUUGGCUCAUGCAGAUCCUUGCAAUAGAGAAUGUCCUCCAUCCUUGGCUUCCAUGUUACCCAAUUGGAGUUGGUGAGUUUGAUCAUAGUGCCACUUCCUUCCAUCUCGCAGUACGAGCCAACCGGGCUCUGAUACCACUUGUUAGGAAUGUCGGUACUACAAGAUAGAGAAUGCACAAGGUAAAGUAGAAAAUGGACGCCAAGAAUUUAUGUGGUUCGGCAAUUUAUGCCUACGUCCACCAAACAAGGAUCAAUCUUCACUAUAUGAAAAAGAUGAAUACAACAAGAGUAGUCUUACCAAGCCAAAGACAAGGCUUGAUGGAUACAAGAAAGUAUAACACACACUUUCUAUCACUCUAAACUUCACUCACACAAUGUGUAGUGGAACACUCUCACUCUCACUCUUGGAGUGGAACUCUAGCUUUGGACUUGAUCCUUUGCUACUCACUCUUCUCUUGAUUUGUUGUUGGUUCACUACAACAUCACACCCAUAUUUAUAGGUGAGGGUUUGGCAUUCUACUAGUUUCUAGUGUAUUCUUCAAACCUCUAGCAUAGAAAGAUCUAGACUAGCCACAAAAGUGUGGCUUCUAGAUCUUUCCAUUUGCAACCAAGGAAGCUAGUACUCUCUAGCUUCUUCCAUCAACUUAAUAACAUGCUAGAAUUGUCUAGCAUGCUCCAGCCAUCUCUCUUGCUUACUAGAAUAAUCUAGAACAUUGAUCAUGGGCUGGACCAUAUACCAACAGUUGCGGGUUACGUUCUUACGAAUAUAGUUUGGUUGUAGAGUUCAUACCGCAUGUAGAAGCAUGACUCCUUAAAUUGAUCAGUUGUUUUCAACAUAUCGGGUUAAACGUAACCUACCUUUCCCUUGCUGUUUUUUGUUUGCUUAUCUCGUAUUUUAUUUUACUUUUUUACUGGUGUGACGAAAUGUAUGUCAAAACAAGAAGAAAUCAUACUAUUCUAUUUCUGUAAAAAUACCCAAAUGUCAAUGAAAUCAAUUACAACCGAAGACUCAUAUAUAACCAAAACAUUGCUUUUAUACUAAAGAAUAUUUGUGUCGAUUGAGAUGGCUUUUUGCCUACCUAUGACAUUUUUUUAUAUAUAAAAACUGAUACUAUUAAAAUUACGGGUCGAUUUUUUGCCAUAUUUGAUAAAGACUUGUGUACAUGUGCCAUGAACAUCUUUGUCAUACGUUGGGAGUCACCGAAUAUGCGGAACCAAUUAGGAAACGUUUAAUUAGGAAGAUAUAGAGGUCCCUUAAUUAAAUCUGAAGUAUUGAGCAGCUCAUGUGCAAGAAAAGUUUGGGUUUUCCAUGUGCAGGAGGUGGAAUUUGCCCAUGUGUCACGUCAUUGCAACGAGUAGCCUUAAUAAACAGAAAUUUUGUUCCUACUUAGUGCUUGUAAUUCUACGGACGUUUGCUUCACCAGAAUUCAACGAUCAAAUUAGAAUUCUAGCACCGAAAAACUUAACUUCUGGCAAAUUUUUAUGUGGUUCUCUCAGUAAAAAGGUUUAGAAAUGUAGAAGAAGAAUUAGAUAUUUUCUGUGUUCUAAAUAUCAUGCAGAUGGAUUAAUAUAUAAUAUGAUUAUGCAUGUUCACAACAGGUAUGAGUAGGUGUGGUUCGGUAUGGGAUACCAUACCGAAACUAGUAUCCCGAAUCCCAAACCGAAAUUUUUCGGGAAGGGAAUUUAAAGACCAAUCCCAAACCAAAUUUUCGGGAUUUCGGAACAAAUCGGGAAUCCCAAAUUGAAAUAUGAAAUUAUGAAUUGUUUUUCAAAUAUAUAAUUCAAGAACACAUUCAUACUAGGAAUGUCAUUUCAUUCACACUACCAUUUAAUCUAAAACUGGCAUGCCUGAUUGUUUUUAUCAGAGUCAAAAUUCAAAUUAAUUAAACAUUUUUUGCAAUCUGUUGAGAGACAAAAGAAUCAAACUUUCUAAAAUCAUUAGCCAUGGCAACAACAAUAAUAAAUCUAAAUGAAUAUUAAACAGAACAUGAAAACUAUGCAAGGUGUAGGGCAUUCCAGGUUGCAUAGCAUCCCGAAAAUUUCAGGAAUUUUGGUUUGGAAAAUUUUUGGUUUGGGAUCGGGAUUUUUUCGGUUCGGUUCGGGAUUUUCGGGAAUUUUUUCCACCCCUAAGUACGAGGAAGGGAUGCAUCUGUUGGGAGACAUCUUCUCAUGGGUGUUUUCUUUCUGCGUUCUUUCACACUUCAAACUUCAUCUAAAAGGAUGAGUGUUGAUAAAAUAAAAAAUUAAUUAAUUAAAUCCGAAAAUAAUUAAUUAAAGUAUUUAAUUAUUAGAGUCCGAAGAUCCAUCUUUUGAUAAUUAAUUAUAUAUUAAUUAGCACAUCCCAAAGCUCAACCCCAAGGGUAAGCCCAAUUUUAUUUUCCAAGGUUCAUUGCUCCAAUCACUUUCUAUAAGGGACAAAACCUUACAAACUAAACAAAUCCAAAGCCACGUGGCUCCCUGCACCAUAUAAUAGCAUUAAGUAUAACAAGAAAAUAAGCUACACAAGAAGGAAACCCAUAUAAUUGCAUUAACUAUACUAAUGUUACCGAAACUACAUCUUGUAUUCUGGAAAAUUCAUACAUGGUCGAAGCUCUAGUCAGCAUGAUAGGCACAAAUAAUUGCCACACACUUUAUACAAUUCAAGUGAAAACAUCAAUGGCUGCUAACCUUGUUGGAGUCAAAGAUAAAUUGAGUUGAAAUUCUUCAACACUUCAACUUCUUCUCAAUGUUUUCAACCCAACUUUCUUCAAAAUCUUCGUGUACACUAAGAACAACUUUCUUCAAAAUCUUCGUGUAUACUAAAACCAUCUUCAACAAUUACUUACUUCAUUGAUCUCUUGAAUAAACACUCUUGUUACUUCAUUCUUGUCUUCAACACAGUACUCUUAUUACUUCAUGGGUGUCUUCAACACUUUCAAUAAAACAACCAAAUUCCAAUAAAGCAGUUGAAGAUAACUAAAUAAAAAACAAACAAAAACAAGUGCACUUCAACAAACACUCAGGAUCAAAACCAAAACAACCGACAAAAUUCACACGCGUGGAACUUCUAGCUCAAAUCAAGAACAAUACAACCUCAAACAUUCCUUACAAAUCUUUAAUAACAAAAACCCAUAGUUUUACACCUUGAAAUUUGAAUACUUGUUUGGUAGGACUGUUUUCAAAAACUGGAUCCAAAACUAACUCAAAAUUGGCCUACUUCUUGAAAACACAAAAUUGAACUUUUAGGGUUUUUGAACUCAAAGCCAACUGCUUUCUCUCUCCUCUCCCCUCACUCCGGAUCUUCUCUGCUAGCUCUAUUUCUAUCUUCUCUGUGUCCUCCCCUCAGUUCUUCUCUCUCCUCCAAUGCUCUCUCUCAUAUGUCAGCUACCCUAUCCUCCGACCCCUCUAUUUGGAUCCAUCUGUCCGUCCGAUUGAACCUACAAGUUCCCGACUCCACCGGGGUGCUGUAGGGUUUUUUUCUUUUCUUUUUUUAUUGUUGAGAUUUGAAAACAACUUUGAAUCUCAUACCAAACAAGUUCUCAAGACAUGUUUUGAGAAAUGAUGAAAACUUCUAACAACCUAAAAAAUAAACACCUAAAUCCACAAUCUUAAUCUAUCAGUCAUAAAUUUUAAGAAUUUACAAUUAUUUUCCGCCAAUCCAUAUCUUUCAAGAAACAAAAUUAAUUUUUCUCAAAACAAAAAAGAAACAAAAUUAAUUACACAAAAGUUAUGAAAUACUUAAUAAUUACAACUUAAUAAAGAAUUAGAUAAAAAUACCUGCAGUCAUGGCGAAGAUUGCGGACCAAGAGACUGGUGGGAAGAUCCCUACCACGACCUCCAUAGCGACCUCUCGGGCUAGGGCUACGGCGUCGCCUGCCGUAACCCCUCGGCGGCAAAGGGCCGUAACUAUAGAUCCUACCCCUCAUUUUCUUUCACCUGCAAUAAUCCCCACCACGAAUUACAAACCGAAAUUGAAAUCGAAAACCCUAAUUUCACUGUAACAAAUCACAAGACCAGCACAUAAUUAUUUAUGUAAUACAUCGCUCUUUUGGGUCGAAUACUUACCCGCAAUCUCUCUGAUUUGGUAGAUGUCGGGUCCUAGGGUUUUAAGCUUUGGAGACCCGUCUAACCGGGUCGGAUUUUGACGACUGGCUUUUUCUGAAACGAAUAGUAGCAGCCCGGGUAAAAAGAUUGGAGAAAUGCUAGUAACACUCGCCUAAAAAGCAAGUCCUCAAGACUCUCCCUCCAGCAUCUCCACGUGUAUUUCCACUUCCUCGGUUAAGCUUUAUAUUAGUUCCAUAAUGUUUUUUUUAAUAGUAUUAUACCCACCCCUGUUGUGCUAGGAUAGCACUAAACCACGCGGAACCAAAUUAAGCUAACCCACAGAAAAUAUAUCAAAUGAAAUGCAAGAACAAUAUAGAGAAAAUAUCACCAAGAUUUUAACGAGGUUCCUCUACAGUCAGUAUAACUGGAGUACGUCCUCGGAGCAAUAGGAGCUCACCCAAUAAUCCACUAUCAACCAAAUGGGAGUUUACAAAGUGUUGACAAUCUCACAACCCAUAAACCCAAUACACCCAAUAACUCUCACACACCAAAGAAACAAAUAGAGAAAGAAAUAUAAUGAAUAAUUUCUUCUCUACACAUAUAGUUCAAAGCUAUUACAACAACAACUACUUUGGUGGAUGAUUACUAACCAAAGAGAUGAGCACUUUCUUCUUCUCUUCAAAGAGGAGCUGCAACUCUCUUUUCCUGCUGCUCUAUUCUCUCUGUAUUCAGCUCAAAACAUAAAAUGAGCUCCACACUUUCUACUCACCCUCCGUAGCUUUCUAUCUCUUUCUCUUCUCUAUUAUUAGGCUGCAAAGGCAACCACCAAAACAUAAAGGACCAAAACCCACGGGUGUAGAAGAGAAAGUUGCCUUUUCCCCUUUUUUUCUCCCCAAAACAAGGAAUGAUGUUGUCCACCUUUUUCCUUUCCUUUAUAAUUUUAUAAUAGCCGAAAGUGAAUGACUUAUUUGGCCACUUGGCCACAUACUCCAACAAUCUCCACCUUGGCCAAGUUCCGAAAGCGCCAUGACAAGCCAAAAUGCUCCAAAACUCCUACUGCUCAACGCCUUCUUUAUAUAGGCAAAAUGUGAGCCAAGUUCAAGCAAUGAACAAACUUGGCUACACCAACAACCUUAGUCAACAUAUCAGCGGGGUUGUCUUUAGUUGAAAUCUUCUGGAGAAUGAUUUCCCCUUCACCAACAAUUUCACGAACAAAGUGAUAACGCACAUCUAUGUGCUUGGUCCUCGCAUGAUGAACCUGAUACUUAGCCAAAUAAAUGGCACUCUGACUAUCACAAUGUAUCUCCACCUGCUUCUGAUCGACCCCCAAAUCUCUAAUCAGCCCAUGUAUCCAAAUGACCUCCUUUAUAACUUCAGCAACUGCCAUAUAUUCAGCCUCUGUAGUAGACAAGGCAACAGACGACUGCAAAAUGGACCUCCAACAAACUGGCCCUUUAGCCAUAGUAAACACAUAGCCUGUAGUAAACUUUCUUCCAUCCAGAUCACCUGCAUAAUCUGAAUCAACAUAACCAACUGCAAAAUGACCAAUACCAGAGUCAUCUCUCUCAAAGCAUAAACCAAUGUCUCGAGUACCAUGGAGAUACUUCAAUAUCCACUUAGCUGCUUGCCAAUGCUCUUUACCUGGAUUAUGCAUAUAUCAACUCACCAUGCCAACUGCAUGAGCAAUAUCCGGUCUAGAGCAUACCAUUGCAUACAUCAAAUUACCAACCAAAUUUGCAUAUGGUAUAUUUUCAUUUGCAGCUUCUCUUUAUCAGUUUUAGGACACUGUAAAGAACUCAAUUUAAAAUGAGGAGCCAAAGGGGUACUAACUGGUUUGGUUGAAUCAUGAACUCCAAAUUUCCGAAUCAACUUUUCAAGAUAUUGUCUUUGAUUCAAACUGACCAAACCCUUCUCUCUAUCUCUAGUGAUCUCCAUGACAAGGAUCUUCUUCACUUCACCAAGAUCCUUCAUCUCAAACUCAUUCUUCAUUUGCUUCUUCAAUUUUUCAAUCUCUUCAAUUUUUCAAUCUCUUCAACAUUCUUUGAGGCAAUCAACAUAUCAUCAACAUAUAUCAACAAAUAAAUGAAAGACCCAUCUUGUAACUUCUUGAAGUACACACAAUGAUCAUAUUGACUUCUAGAAUAAUUUUGGCCUCUCAUAAAUUUAUCAAACCUCAAAUAUCAUUGUCUUGGAGAUUGCUUCAAGCCAUAUAGUGAUUUCUUCAAUUUGCAAAACAAGUUCUCCUUCCCUUUCACUAUAUACCCAUCCGGUUGACACAUAUAAAUCUCUUCAUUCAAAUCACCAUGUAGGAAAGCCGUCUUCACAUCAAGUUGCACAAGCUCAAGAUCAUAUUGUGCAACAAGAGCUAACAUAAUACGAAUUGAGGAGUGCUUCACAACCGGAGAAAAUAUUUCAUUGUAGUCAAUGCCCUUCUUUUGUGCAUACCCUUUAGCAACUAAUCUUGCUUUGAAUCUCACAUUGCUUUUUUCAUUAGCAUCUUCCUUCUUGGCAUACACCCAUUUGCAACCGAUAGCUUUCUUGCCCUUAGGCAAUUUAGCUAACUCCCAAGUCUUGUUCUUCAAGAGAGAAUUCAUCUCAUCACCCAUGACAUUGCACCACCUCUCCUUCUCCUCACUCUCAAUGGCUUCCUCGAAAUUGGAUGGAAUAUCAUCAAUGAUAAUAGGAAGAGCAAAAGCAACAUAGUCACUAUACCGAGCUGGCUUGGUAAUUUGUCUUUUUCCUCUGUUCUUGGCAAUAGACUCUUGAGGUGAAACUUGCUCUUCAACUUGAAUAGAAUCUUCAAGUUCAACUUCUUCAACAUCCUCAUGGUCUCCAACUUCUUCACUUGUAGUGGCUUCGACAUCAGCGGAAAUAGGAUUUGAAGUACCAGAGGCAACUUUCUCAAGCUCCACCUGUUGGACAUCUUUCACAUUAUUCUCAGAGUCUUUGUACAUAUUUUCUUCAUCAAAUGUCACAUCUCUGCUGAUUACAAGUUUCUUCAUCUCUGGGCACCACAACCGGUAACCUUUGACACCACUACUAAAACCAAGAAAGAUAGCAUUUUUGGCUCUAGGAUCAAGUUUAUUUUCAGUUACAUGAAAAUAAGCAGGCGAACCAAAAAUAUGAAUAUAAUCAUAAUCAGUAGAAGGUUUUCCAGUCCAUACCUCCAUUGGUGUCUUACCUUGAACAGCAGCUGAGGGUAAUCGGUUGAUAAUGUGACAUGCAUAAUUAACUGCCUCUGCCCAAAAUGACUUGCUUAAACCCGACUGAGACAACAUACAUCUAACCUUCUCAAGCAAGGUUCGAUUCAAUCUUUCUGCAACUCUAUUUUGUUGUGGAGUUCCCGAACACUGAAAUGUCUCACAAUUCCUUCCUCUUUGCAAACUUUAGAGAAAGGAUCGGAUGUGUAUUCACCACCAUUAUCCGAUCUCAAAAUCUUAAUCUUUCUCCCAGUCUGGUUCUCAACCAUUUUCUUCCAACCCAAGAAAAUGCUUAACACCUCACUCUUGUGCUUCAUAGUGUAGACCCAAGACCUUUUUGAAUAAUCAUCAACAAAUGUCACGAACCAAUGUCUACCAUUCAAAGAUGGAGUCUUUGUAAGACCCCAAACAUCUGAAUGCACAUAAUCAAGAAUGUCCUUCGUCUGAUGUACAGCAGUACCAAACUUCACUCUAGUUUGCUUUCCCAAGACACAAUGCUCGCAGAAAUCAAGCUUACAAGUCGUGGCACCUUUUAGAAGACCUUGUUUCACAAGCCCUUGUAGAGCUUUCUCACCGGCAUGGCCUAAUCUCAUAUGCCACAGUCUGGUAGUAUCAGAAUCGGAUGUGCCCAUAUUUUCUGAGACUACAGAUGCUUCACCUGUCACAGUGCUUCCUUGCAAUAUAUACAAAUGGCCACAUCGAGGAGCUUUCAUCACAACAAGUGCACCAUAAGUAACUUUCAAUGUCUGUCCAUCUGAAUGAAACCUGAAGCCCUUGGAUUCCAAAGUACCCAAAGAAAUAAGAUUUUUCUUCAAAUUCGGUACAUACCGAACACCUGUCAACUCUUUAACCAGGCCAUCAUGCAACUUCAAACGAACUGUACCAAUCCCUUUUGUUGUGCAAGGAUUGUCAUCUCCCAUGAACACAACGCCACCAUCAAACUCUUUCAAGCUUGAAAACCAAUCCUUGUGAGGAGUCAUAUGAUGAGUACAACCCGUAUCUAACACCCAUUUAGUGGCACAAUUAAAUGAUGAUGAAGUGGUUAAAGCAAAAUCAACAAAAUCUGUUUCAACCUCAGCAACAUUGGCUUCAGAACUUUCUUUUCCUUUGGCCUUCAACUUAGGACAAUCUUUCUUCCAAUGGCCCUUAUUACGACAAAAGGCACAUUCAUCCCUUUCCAAAGGUUUUCUACCUUUAGAGUUUCCUCUAGGUCGAGACUGUGAUUUUUUCCUACUAGUAGAGGACCUUAUCUCCGAUGAUCUACCUCUAACAAAUAAAGCUUCAGAGGUACUAUCAUGAUUUUUGUCUCUAUGCCUCAUUUCAUAAUUCAUCAAGGCAUUUGACACAUCUUCAAAUUUCACAGUUUCUUUACCAUGCAUAAUAGUGGUAACAAAAUGCUCAUAAGAGUCCGGUAAGGAAUUCAACAAUAUUAAGGCCUUGUCUUCAUCCUUAAUAUCCUCAUCUAAAUUUAACAAGUCGGCAAUCAACUUAUUAAAAGCAUCAAGGUGUCUAAUCAUUUUUGUACCUUCUUUGUAUUGGAAGCAGUAGAGUUUUUUCUUCAAGUGUAGCCGGUUCUUUGCCCUCUUCGUCAUAUACUUGUCUUCCAAUUUUUGCCACAACACACUUGCUACCGUCUCCCGCAUCACAAAAUACUUCUGAGUUUUUGCAAGGCACAACCGAAUUGAAGAGCAAGCCCACAAAUUUAAUUUCUCCCAUUCCGGCUUCGACAUAGCUUCCGGCUUCUCUCCCAAAGCGGCAAGUAGAUCUUGUUGAGCCAACACAUCUUUGACCUCACAUUGCCACAUCCUGAAGUUGUUUGUGCCAUCAAACUUUUCCACUUCGAACUUUGCAUUUUGCACCGUAGUUCUUGCAAACCCGGAGCUGCUUCCAAAAGGAUUCUCAUCUUGCCCGUCUGACAUCUUUGGCAACUAAACAGUACCCAAGAGCAACUAGUGCUCUGAUACCAAUUGUUGUGCUAGGAUAGCACCAAACCACGCGGAACCAAAUUAAGCUAACCCACAUAAAAUAUAUCAAAUGAAAUGCAAGAACAAUAUAGAGAAAAUAACACCAAGAUUUUAACGAGGUUCCUCUACAGUCAGUGUAACUGGAGUACGUCAUUGGAGCAGUAGGAGCUCACCCAAUAAUCCACUAUCAACCAAAUGGGAGUUUACAAAGUGUUGACAAUCUCACAACCCAUAAACCCAAUACACCCAAUAGCUCUCACACACCAAAGAAACAAAUAGAGAAAGAAAUAUAAUGAAUAAUUUCUUCUCUACACAUAUAGCUCAAAGCUAUUACAACAACAACUACUUUGGUGGAUGAUUACUAACCAAAGAGAGGAGCACUUUCUUCUUCUCUUCAAAGAGGAGCUGCAACUCUCUUUUCCUGCUGCUCUAUUCUCUCUGUAUUCAGCUCAAAACAUAAAAUGAGCUCCACACUUUCUACUCACCCUCCGUAGCUUUCUAUCUCUUUCUCUUCUCUAUUAUUAGGCUGCAAAGGCAACCACCAAAACAUAAAGGACCAAAACCCACGGGUGUAGAAGAGAAAGUUGCCUUUUCCCUUUUUUUUUCUCCCUAAAACAAGGAAGGAUGUUGUCCACCUUUUUCCUUUCCUUUAUAAUUUUACAAUAGCCGAAAGUGAAUGACUUAUUUGGCCACUUGGCCACAUACUCCAACAACCCCAAUGUCUUAUCUUUCCACUCAUCUUAUAUUCCCACCCACCAAAAAAAGUAAAAAAAAAAACCAUAUUAUUUUUCCACCUUCUAUUAUUCCCAAAGCACCCUUACCCCCAACACCCUGCUCAAUGGCCUCAUAUCCCAUCAUUACUGGUCGCUUAAAAAGCCCAGAUACCAUCAUAUCAAUGCUUGAUUUCCUUCCAGUAACAUGUCCUCCAUUCUAUUUUCAAUUCUUUGAAUUUCCAAAUAUGAAAUAAUUUUGAAACAAAAUUUUUAGAAUCUCUUUUUUUUCAUUUUUUUUUUUAAUUUCAGUUGCAAAGUUUUAGAAUCUCUUUUUUUUUUUUUAUACACCGAAUUCCUUUUGAAAAGAGUAGGUUGGUUAUAUACAAGUUUACCAUAGGAAUUACAGAGCUUAGGUAGUACAAGUUUUCCAUAGGAAUUACACCGAAUUCCUUUUUUAGUUACUGUUGAUUAUACAAUGUGAUUCCGUUUUUACCCCUUUUUUGUUUCUUUGGUCUUUUCGCUCUUCAGUCUUUUGCUUGGUUUUUGUCUAUCUGAGAAGGGAAUAAUCUAGAUGUACACGUGUGGAUCAUCUGGGAAGGGAAAGAGGUAGAAUAUACACGUGUUCAUUUAUCUUCCGUUAAAGAUUUGAUUGUUUAUUUCAUCUGGGAAGGGAAAGAGGUAGAAUAUACACGUGUUCAUUUAUCUUCCAUUAAAGAUUUGAUUGUUUAUUUAAUCUAGGAAGGGUAUAAUCUAGAUGUUCAUUUAUCCGAGAAGGGAAUGAUAACAACCACCACUAUUACAUCUCACAAUACAUAAAGAUUUGAUUGUUUAUUUAAAGUAUUUGUUGGCUUUUAAAAAUUUGUCCCGUUGUGAGAUUUUUCUUCCGUUAAAUCAGGCUUUUGUUGGGUGUGUGAGAAUGUGAAAAGUUUCUCUUUGUGUGAUUUAAAUGUUUUUUCUUGGUAGGCUUAUAUCAAACAAUAUUAACAAAUAGAUAUUUGUCGUAUUAGUAGUGUCAGUACCCACAUGACUUUGGACAUUAUUAAAUGGGACGGUGGGUAUUGGUCUCCUUGCCUCUUUUUUGUGUGUAUUUUAUAUUGGCAAAUAAGAACAAUGGGGUUGUAUGAAGAAAAGAUAGAUGGUCAACAGUAUACCCGGUUUUAGUAUAGAAAUAAUAAAUAAAUAUAAAUAUGCACUUUUGUUAUAUGUUAUGAUUUGUUGUAUAGAGAAUUGAGAAAAAAGUUAAAGACAAUUCCGUGUUUUUGAGUUACAGCAAUUAGUAAAUAUAUAAUGACAUUGAUUAGUUCACUUAAGAGUUUAAUCCUUCGUUGGUUUAUUUGUAUUGUGUGCCUGAGAAUGAAAGCAAUGGAUAAGGAAUUGUUCCUUUUAUUAGCAAUUAUAUGAAGUAGGCAUAUUAUGCAAUACAAGUUCUACAUUCAUUUAGUAAAUAUUGAGUUUAUUUUUAUCGAAUAGUGACAUUUGAUUCAGGUUUAAGGUUCUUAAAUGUUAGUAUUUUGAAAAUUGAUUUCAAUAGUCUUUUAUGAAUUUUUUUUUUUGCUUACAUAAUUAUGUGCUGCUUCAGGGACACCUACUGCAUUGGGCACAACUUAUUACGUUAUUAGACCCGGAUCUAAUUGCCUAAAAAAUAAUGAAUAGCUGUUUCCACUCUAAUUGCGCCGUUUUUAUUAUAAAACUUUCACACAUGUCGUAAUGUACAAAACAACAAAUAAUCAAAUGUAAAUUAGGUGAUAAUAUUAUUGUUAUUGACAGUGAGCUGAUGAGUCACUUUAAAUCAGAUGGGGUAUCAUUAGUUGACUUGGAACUAGUUGAAAUAAAAAGCGGCAUAUCUCUCUACCACCAAUGAGCACACACCUAGUAUCCCUGUACAGAAAACGAGCCAACUAAGCAUAGGGCUCAUUUGUCGAAAGAUUUUUCAAUGUUUUCGAAACACAUGCAUAUAUCUUAUAUGUUAUUAUACAAAUAGAUGGAUAUUUGAAGAAAAAAAUUAUCUCUAAUAUAAUGUCAUAUAGCGUACGGCGUGGUGUUUCAAGUACAUUGAAAAAUUUCUUCCAUUUGUCAUAUUGUUGAUGCUUUCAUUAAGGACUUGUUCCCCUCAUAAGUCUCUCCCACAUUUUAGGUCUAAACCGAAUGUCCCCCACCAAAAAGUAAUCUAGCAUGUAAAAGUGCAUGUGAUUUACAUUUAAGAAAGAGUGGUGUUAUUCACAAAUGUUUUUUUUUUAUCUUUUAUGCAUUUUUUUUUCAAUUGUUGAUUGUCGGAUAAAAUAAAUUAAAAAAGAUUAAAUAACAAAAAUUAACAGGACGUGUGCAUAUAGCACCACCGUCUGGAAAUAUAUAGCACUACUUAAAUGCUAUGCUCUCUAAGGUGGGAUCUCAACUCUCAAGUGAUGAAGAAUUGUGGAGUCACCGAGUGGAGUAACCGAGAUGACUCAAGUAGAAGCUCAUCUCCAAAAUAGAAGGAAAAAAAUGUUAAUUUUUGGGAUAAUGCUAGGAAGAUCAAGUUUUUAAACUAAAUUUGCAAAUCAAAUAGGCUUUUUUUAUUAGCAUCCUAUAUAAUGUUGAAUACACCUCCACAUUAAAAUUUAAUAUUAAAUGACUUAUAUACCCUACUAUGCUAUGACAACUUCGACCUUAUUAGGUUAUAAAAAAAAAAAACAAGAAAUUUCGAAAUACACUCCAAAUCAUUUUUAACUUAUUAUUUAUCUUCUUCAACUCUCAUAACCCGUCUCGCCCUCAAUUGUAGAAAAAAACAUUAAGCAAUGAAACUACAAACACACUAAUAUUGAGAACAAUUAUUUUUGACAAAUGGGACAUGAGAUUGACGUUUCGGAAAGCUUCAAGAUUUCUUGUUCAUGUGAAGUUUUGUUUACGUGAAGUUUUGGUUAUGUGACAGACAUCGAACGAUCAUUGUUGUUGAUGACCAACAGGUUAAACUAGUUGACGGACAGAAUCAAGGAGAGUAGAAGAGCAAUGCUGGAAACGGAGUAGCUUCAGGUCUCAAUCCUCCAAGAUUUCCAUCAGCAACGCCAGUCACUUCUGCAUGCACGUAAUAGAGUAUGAGUUAUGCCUUGUACACUCCGUUGAAUUAGGCUAAUGAGAAUAUGAGAUUGUUGAGGUGGUAACCCACAACACCUCGUUCAGGAUUUGCUGAACUAAAUCCCCUCAAGUUCAAAGUGGAGUUGUGCUUCACAUGUAGUUGGGAGAAAUUAGAAAAAUUCUGGUAUCCCACAUGCCUUCAGCUUCACACCGAAGGUGCUUUGGAUGAUAUUAUGUAUUAAUUGCACAUGAGAUGUAAAGAGUGGAGUGUAAGUAGGAAAUGUGAGGUGUAUAUAGAAAAUGUAAAGUGUAUUUUAAGAGUGGGGCGUGAGGGUACUAUGGAGAAACAAGUGGGGUGUAUUAAGAUAAUUUUUAACUAAAAAAACAAAUGUGUGAUGUAUUAAGUAUGUGCGGUGUGUUCAACAAUAUGUGUGGUGUUAAUAUAACAACCAUCAAAUAAUGUGUUACCAAUAGAAAAUAAGCACAUUAAUAACACUUAAGUAUCAAUCCAAUCAUCAACAACCAUAUCAUUUGGUUUAAAAUUUUGAUCUUCCUAACAUUACCCUAUUCUUUAGCAAAAACUUUUUACAAAAACAUUAUAAUUAUUACCUAACAGUAGGAAAAUAAAACUUAAUAGUAGUUUGAUGAAUCUUUUACCAUCUUGAUGAUCACCGUUUGUUUGUACCAUACUUAGGGCAUCUGUAUUUAGAUCUCGUAUAAAUACUUGGGGGACUUAAAUAUAAUUAUGUAAUAAAUGAAGGGGCAAAUAUGUAAAAAGGGGAGGAGCCCUUAGUCUAUAAAAGGGCCUCCUCACCCUCACAAUAGGGACAAGCUCUCAUAUUCAGAGCAAGCCCCUUCACCCUCUCAAAGCCUCACUCUCACAUUAUAGAGGCUCUCUCCCUCACAAUCCUCUCAGAGAAAUACAAUAUCAGUGUGGACGUAGCUCAAACAUUGGGGUGAACCACGAUACAUCUUGUGUUAUUUACUUUCUUGCAGAUUCACGGUCGGAUUUACGUUGUUCCAAGACCCCUCCAGUUUUGUGCAUCAAUAUUUGGCGCUGUUUGUGAGAAUCGAUACGAAAAGUUGUGUCGGUUCUCUUUCAUUUUUUCACCUCGACUGUGAAUCUGCAAAAUCACAAAAACCCAUAAAUAGAAAAGAUCAAAAUCUCAAACACUUAACACAAGCCCACAAGGAAGAUAAAGGUCGUUGCUUUUUGGGUUUUGGGUUCGUAUUCAGGAAACCCAGGGAAUCAAAUCUCUCUCUUCCUCUUCCUUUGUGAUCUUGUUAUCUUUUUUUUUUCCUUUGUUCUAUCAUAUUUCUUUGUAGAGGCAAGAGUUAAAAAGGCAUCAAGCCCAAAUGGAUCAGACGACUCAUCAUUAUUUUCUGCUGGUGCAGCUGAAGUCACAUCCUGCUUCAUUUGAUCAUCUUCAUCUGCUAUCUUUGUUCCAUCUUCCAGCACAGCUGCUUCCUUUCCCUCACGGUCGCCGGCCGACGAAUCCCGACGAUAUCAUCCUCCUGGAAAUGAGCAAAAGCAGACUUGGAGCUCGUAGAUUUCUUCAUCUUCUGCGGGAACUUGACGGGCACCUCGCUAGACGCCGGCUUGGUAUCUGACCUGACCCGGUUUAUGAAAUGGCUCAAGGUGUUUCAGAUUCAGAGGAAGAAGAGGAUCUUGAAGCAGAGGUUGAAGGUUUCUCCAGCUUUGAACUAGUUAGCCAUCGAAGAGGGAUCCGACCCGGUUCCUGAAAUGGCCCAAGGUGGUUCAGAUUCAGAGGAAGAAGAGGAUCCUGAAGCAGAGGUCGAAGGUUCCUCCAACGCCAGGAAGAUCGGGCAUAGGGAAUUCGCUACACUGUUCUACAGUCUUCAAAGUUGGAGGGGAAUAUUUAAGAGUUUCGACCGGGACAGAAGUGGGUUCAUUGAUGCAAAUGAGUUGAGAGAUGCACUGCUGAGUCUGGGAUAUUCUGUGUCACCUGUAGUUUUGGAACUGCUGGUCUCUAAAUUCGACAAGUCUGGAGGCAAAAAGAGGGCCUUUGAAUAUGACAAUUUCAUCGAGUACUGUCUGACUGUUAAAACAGUUGUCACUUUAGAGAAAAGCAAAAAAAGCAAGUGGGUGGUGUCAAGGCUGUCCAGGCAACUGUUACGUUUUACAGGAGAACAUGUAGGAAGUGGAGAGACAAAAGCAAAAGCAGAAACAAAAGCAAAAGCAGAAAGCAAAAGCAGUAACAAAAGCAAAAAGCAAAAGAAGAUAAAAAAAUUAAAAAAAAGCAGACAUAAUUGCGGUGGUGAUGGCAUGCAGAAAAGGGAAUUAUGGUUGUGACCUAUUGAACUGAGGGUCGGAUUUAUUUUUGAAUGAUGUGAUUUAUUUUUCUUAUCUUUCGAAGACAUCUGUAUAAACCCCACCAGAAGGUAAUCAUAAAAAAUAAAAAAAAAACAGCAAGCCUAAAAUAAUGGGCUAAAAUGUUUUGUAGAGGGCCAAGGCCCAUAUGCCCAAAAGAGCCAGGCCUUAUGGCUCCAAAUUUAUUCGGCACCCUGCCGCUAUUAUCAUCAACCAGGUGAUCAAAAGUACGCUUAGUACUCCAAAAUUAUUCGGCAACCUGCCGUUAUUAUCACCAACCAGGUGAUCAAAAGUACACCCAGUACUCCAAAAUUAUUCGGCACCCUGCCGCUAUUAUCACCAACCAUGUGAUCAAAAGUACGUCCAGUACUUCAAAAAUUAUACAUAAGCAUCACUCAUGUCAAUCAUACAUAAACAUUCAUGAGCAUCACUCAUGUCAAUCAUACAUAAACAUUCAUGAACAUCAUUCAUGUCAACAUUCAUGAGCAUUACUCAUGUCAACAUUCAUGAGCAUUACUCAUGUCAACAUUCAUGAGCAUCACUCAUGUCAAUCAGCUUCGAAAGCUUCAGUUACAGAGCUCCAGCUUCGGGAGCUCCAGCUUCGAAAGCUUCAUUUACAGAGCUCCAGCUUCGAGAGCUCCAGCUUCAAAAGCUUCAUUUACAAAAGCUCCAGCUUCAAAGCUUCACUUGCAAAGCUUCACCUACAAAGCUUCAGUGCAGGGUAUAUAAAUACCGCCUUCGAACAACCGUCACUACGGCCCAUACAUGGAUUGAAUUUGAAGUCUCCAGCCAACAACCUCUGUUGACUGAAGACUUGGGCAACUACACUAUGUACCAUAUAUUGGGCUUCCACAACUGGGCCUCAUGAAAAAUACUUGGGGGACUUAGCCCAUCAUUUAUGUAUCGAGGAGCGAGCCCUUUUUUUAUAAAAGGGACUCCCUCACUUUCAUUAGAGAGCACCCAUUAUUCAUGUACUGAGGAGCGAGCCUUUAUUUUAUAAAAGGGACUCCCUCACCUUCAUUAGAGAGCAUCGCCGUCAGCUGAGCAACCGCCUUGCCGCGAGCAUCACUCUUAACCCAUUAUUUAUGUACUGAGGAGUGAACCCUUAUUUUAUAAAAAGGACUCCCUCACCUUCAUUAGAGAGCAUCGCCGCUAGCUGAGCAACCGCCUCGCCGCAAGCAUCACUCCUAACCCAUCACUUAUGUAUUGAGGAGCGAGCCCUUAUUUUAUAAAAGGGACUCCCUAACCUUCAAACGCUACAAGCCAAGCCAACCAAGGCAACAUAAGCCACAAACCGAGCAGCCUCGCAAUAUGUGCUACUUCUAGUUGAGCAUCAUUUCACUUUGAGCACCACUUCAUAUCAAGUAUCAGUUCUAGACGACAAGUAGUUACUUCGGCCCACACAUGGAUUGAAUUUCAAGUCUCCAGCCAAAAGACUUUCUUGACUGAAGACUUGGGGGACUACUGUUUGUACCAUACUUAGGGCCUCCGUAUUUAGAUCUCGUAUAAAUACUCGGGGGACUCAAAUGUAAUUAUAUAAUAAAUGAAGGGGCAAAUAUGUAAAAAGGGGAGGAGCCCUUAGUCUAUAAAAUGGCCUCCUCACCCUCACAAUAGGGACAAGCUCUCAUAUUCAGAGCAAGCCCCCUCACCCUCUCAAAGCCUCACUCUCACAUUACAGAGGCUCUCUCCCUCACAAUCAUCUCAGAGAAAUACAAUAUCAGUGUGGACGUAGCCCAAACAUUGAGGUGAACCACGAUACAUCUUGUGUUAUUUACUUUCUUGCAGAUUCACAGUCGGAUUUACGCUGUUCCAAGACCCCUCCGGUUUUGUGCAUCAACACCGUUUCACCUAGCUGACAAACUCCACGUUAUCUCGCCGUUAGAAGAUUUUGGGUUCAAACUACCUUGAAUAUCGACUCCAGGCAUUUCUUGUUGGUUAAGAAAAGGUUUGGGGGGCAAUUUUAGGUUUUCAACAUCUCCUCCAAGCAUUUGUAUGACUUUGUCCAUCGAAGGGCGAUCACUUGGCUUCAUUUGAAUACACCAAAAAGCAGUCAUAACCAUCUUUUUUAUCAUUAUCUUUUCCUCCUCUGUAACAUUGCCCAUCUCCAAGAGAUCAUUUCCCUCACUAUAUUGAUCGUAAGCCCAUAACGGGAAGUAAUCUUGGCUCGAAUGCUCUGCGAUUCUACUAAAAUUUUUCCUUCUACUUGCCAUUUCCAUCAACAACAUUCCAAAACUAUAGACAUCAGCUUUGUAUGAGACCCCUCCAAUAUUUUUGUAGAACAACUCUGGAGCAAUAUAUCCCAUCGUCCCUCUUGCUGCCGUCAAAGUAACAAUGCUAUUGUCUACGGGAUAUAAUUU